GCAUGUUUAGAUUAUUUACUUGCCCUUUCACUUUUUCUUCGGCUGUCACCAACUUUGUUCAAUGCUAGUCCCUAACCCAUGAAUAAGGGCUUCGCUGGCUACCGGGUUCAGAGAAGUUUGUAAGCUCUUUCUCUUUUUUCAUUUUUCACCACCUCCUGUGUCUUUCCGUUUAAGGUCUUUAAUUUUCGGCAUUAGCUUCGUUAGAGAAAUCCAUGUGUGAACUACAAAGCAUGGGAUCCUGAACACCACGAAAGAAAGCGUACUACUUUUCAAUAAGGUCAGACUUUAGAGAGGAGAGACAUGAACUUGUUUUAGGCAUAGAAAACGCCUACGGUAUGAAAGAUUGGUUGAAAAGAGGUAGGGACUGGUCUCGCUGCUAAGGGAGAAGGAGACCUCUGUCGGAGCAAGCUAAAGAGCCCACUUUAUAUCAUCGAUUUCAGGUAAGGCACUCGAUCAAGCCUAUACAUCCGAGAAUUUAGCUCCAAACCAAAGACGACUUGCUUUGCUGCAUUUCUUGGGCCGGGGCUUUACUUGAUUUCUGCAAAAGAAAGGCCAUAUGAUCUACUUUCUGGUGCCGAUCCCUUCACAAAAAUAGCCCCUUCUUGCUCUUAUUCUUAUUCGGUGGAAUACAAGAGUUCUGAAGCUCCUUUCUUUCAAGUGAAAGUUGCCUAUCUUUCUUGGAUCGGAAGCCAAUCCAGUUGAAAACAAACAAUUGCCUGAUGGCAAAGUCAGAUGAAAGGCUAGGAGGAAAAGAAUGAAGGUGUGGGCGGGAAGGAGGAGGCAAGGCCCCCUCAAUGUGUAUUCGACUACUCAUUACGGAACCACCGAUUGAUCCGAUUAGACUUCUCGCGGGGUAGCGCCUGGAACUUGCUGAAUCAACUCCUUGGAAUCGGAGGCCUGUCUGAGGGUCAAUCCAAUGGUAACCUCAACCUAAGAAUGCCUGUUUCACUUCCUUGACAGAGCCAACUGAGAUGCUUUGUCUCUAUGUUGACCUAACAUGGAUUGAUUCUAAGUUAUGUAUUGCCCCCUAACUAUAGAUCAGAUCCACCGGACCAGAAACUCAAUUCCGCACUGCUGCUGAGUCGUCGGACUUAUCCGCCUCACGGAUUCGUGGAAUUUCCGUUUUUGAAUUGCGUUGGGGGAAAUCUACCAAAGCUAGGCAGAUAGAUAGACUCCUUUCCCGCUGCUAAGGGAGAGCAAGAAACUAAAUCAAAUGAUUGCUUUUUUUCACCAGCGCCCUUUUUUGUGGGUACUAAGAGUUCUCUCACUACGAACCAGCAGACAUCAUCAUCUGGCUGGGUCUUGUCAGUAUCAACAACGAGAAAGAAGAACCAAAUGGAAACAACAACUAACUAUGGCUCUUGGCCCAGACAACGUCCUAGGCGUAGGGGAGAUCAAAAGAAGAAGUCACGCCUAGACGACGGCGCCCGUCCUAGGAUGCAAUAAGUAGAUCGAGAGGUCGUUCCGCCCCUUGUCCCCGAAGAUGGGUAAUAUGUUCUCAUACAAUGUUGCUCCAACUUUUUUCUAGAGGGCCAAGCUGGCGAGCGAUCCCAGUCCGCGACAGAGAACAAGACAGCAAGCGAGCAUAGCUUUGUUCGCUUCUUUUCCACCAAGCACAGAAGUUUAAGGAGAACUGUAGGUCGGUGGCUACCUAAGGAAACUCCGAUUCAAUCCGCCCCCCUGCUGGGGGGUCAGGUACUUUAAAUCUUUGCAUUCCGGAAAGAAUGAAAUGCAUGGGGGACCAUUGUUUUUUUGCGGCAUGCUCUCUGAUUUACGGAUUCGCAGGGGGCUAAGGGCCAACCUUAGUUGACUGACAAUGACAAAGGCUUGCGAAACAAAGUAGCGCCUUUGAAAUGGAAUCUUAAUUAACUAUCAGUGGUGCGAAGCAGCUUAGCCCCGGGGAGCUAAAGGUUAUACCUUUGUAAGCGAACUGUGGUUCUUCUAUGUAGGGUAUUCCUCCUUUACUCUCUUAAUUAACGUUGAGCUAAGUGACUUUGUGUAGCGUACUAGAAUGAAGGCUACGUACGCACCGACACUCUCUUAUCCCUCAGCCUCUUCGCUAACUUGCUCACCUAUAAAAAUGAGCAGGCGAGGCUAGGCAAACUCAGCCGCUGACUUUCACUUUACUGUAGUAGACUUUCUAGCCUUUUAUUUUAGAACCCUUUCUCAUGUUCUUUCCUCCAUCAAAUAGGCGAACCGUCAGGUCCUUAGUAGCGUUGACAAACAAGAUGAGCCGGUGAAAAAAAGAAAGCUAGAAUUUCCAAUAGUGAGACCAGCUUGACAAGCUACCUUUCCUCUUGAUAUGAGGUGUGAAGAGAAACAUCUCUUUUUAUGACUUCCACUUCUUGAUCUCUGCCCGGAAAAGUGACCGACCCCUUGAUGAAUGAAAGAAAGGGUUUAUGAGCCCUAGCCCUGUAAGCCCACACCUGUGUAGAGUAGAUCAUUCAACACCUGCGGCACAAACCCAUUUUUGACCAAUUGGUCCGUAUAUCAUAGGCGACUGAAUGGUUGCCCCCCGUCUUACUAGACCAACCUGCUAUACUUAUUCCAUAAACACCUAGCAAAGAUAUGGCAAACAAAUAAAGUAGCCCUAUGUUCAGAUCUGACAAUACCAUACCAUAAUCAAAAGGUACAACGGCCCAAGCGAAAUGUAGCCACUGGAGCCAUUCAAAAAAGGGUGAAAUUAGGACUACUUGGUGAAAUAGGUUCUUUUAGAAUCAAUUUCAAACCAUCUGCUAGAGGUUGUAACAAUCCGAACGAUCCCACUACAUCAGGACCCUUUUGAUGUUGCACAAAAGCCAUUACUUUACGUUCAGCUAGCACUAAAAAGGCUACUCCUAGUAGAAGUGGUAGAAUUAAACAAAGUAUUUCCACUGGAACAGCUAUGUACGUUUUCGAUUUUCUAUUCACUCAUGAUCGGGGCUGACCUGGUCGACCCGAUCAAACUAUUUCAGUUAUUAUCUGGCCUGGUUGACCCAAUCAUGAUAUUGAAGGAUGGGACCUUUUAUCAAAAACACCGGAUCCCGAGAAGUUUUGAAGAUGGUGCUCCUGUUACGUUACUUCGAAUGGAAUCCUCAAUUGACUAAGCAUAACCGAAAACAUGGCUGAGAGUAAGCAAUCCCCUUUCCUAGUGGUUGAGUCAUGAUCAGAAAUAUUGCGAAAGAAAGUGAAAUGUCCUAUCGUCGUCCCAAUUUGGGUAAACCACGAUGUCUCCAUUUUAUGUAUCCAUCUUGACCCGUUUUUGGUGUAUCAACAAUUCAUUGUCUUACACUUUGAACUAACCUAGAGGCCGUGCUUAGGCGAAAAUCAAUAUCAGUGAAGUAAUCCCGGAACUCUAGAAAUCAUGAAGAAUUUAUUCCAUUUUGUUAAAUAUCGCGAAUAUAGUGGAAAAAACUCUAGAACAUUCCUUUGAAUGGAAUUGUUCAUUGGGUUCGACUUGUUGUUCGACAAAAUAGAAAGUUGUCUCUCAUAUGUUAUUGUAAGGUGAUUCAUUCAUAAUAUUUCUUAUGUGCGGUUUCAAGAUACUAAAAAAGUAGAUUUGGUAAUCGGCUUUUGAGCUCCAUUAUGUGGACUUCAUCAAUUUGUGAUUUAUGGUCUUGGCAGUAGUGGUUAGUACUAAUUGCACCCUCUAAUUGCUCCCUGACCAAGUUUGCGUACUCGUCAGGGUUGAGUUGAGGGGGCAGCCCGUGCGCUAAUUGGGCUUCGAGGUGGCUAUACGCGAAAAAAAGCUCGCUUUCUACUGAGGCCUGUUCUGUCCUAAACUGUUCCAGAAAGUUAUUUGCUUCAUAGGAAGAUUCCAAUAGCACAUUGAUGCCCAAAGAAUCUUCGAAACCGGUGGAGAGGCUAUUCUGAUUGAAGGCUAGACAAAUAACAUGACUGAGGUAUGUAAAUAAAACCUGUGAAAAAGCAAUAUAAUAUGAUCCAAAUAUAAAAGAAUACCAAAGAUAAUGGAUUGCACGGAGAAUGAUAACGUAAAAUAUUUAAGCAAACUCAUAUUUAUUGAUCUUUGGAAUAGCAUCCUCUAUCUUUUCCUCUUAAUAUUAAUUUAUUUAUUAAAGAUAGUGCCUAAUAUUAAUCCACUAAUGAACAAAGAAGAUGUUUCUUCGCUUAAUAUUUGAAGUGAAAACUAUACCAAGAGGAAAAGAGAAUGUUAGUUAUAUUUUAACUAAUGAAUGAUUGAUAUUUCUCUCCGUUUUAUUGAAGUUCUGCAGGUAACCUCUAUCUCUUUCUUUCACUGUACAGGUAAUAUUAUUAGAUGCUAUUCGAACCCUUCCUUUUAUUAAGAUUCGAAUUCUUAUUCUUAUUAUUAUCUAAUUAUUCUUUUUUUUCAUGUAUAUGCGUUAGACACAAUCUACUAAUUGAUCUAUAUUCUGAUACCCUACUAUAUCAUAGUCUAUACUACUAGUAUUUUUAGUACCUCAUGACCUCAUGGGACUCUUUUAGUGAAAUUCAUAAGUCUCAAUUCCCGAGUGAUUGCACCAAAAACGUGAGUUCCUUUUGGAUUUCCUUCUUGAUCAAUGAAAACCGUCAUCAUAUCGUACUAUCAAACCGUUGUCACGUUUGAGUUCUUUACAUGUACGUACAAUUACAGCUCGUCUUACUUCUGUCUCAUCUUUCUAGAGGCAUUUUGGGCAUUGCUUCUUUGAUUACAGCAAUAAUAACGUCACCAAUAUGAGCAUAUCAGUGAUUACCAGCUCCUAAGAUUUGAAUACAUAUCUAUUCGAUAGCCCCACUCCGUUGUUAUCCGCUACAUUCAAAAGGGUCUGAGUGAGAUGGAUCUUGGAAGUCUGGUUUUUGAUUGGAUAGUGAUCUCGGGCACGAGUGGUUGAUCUUCGCGGGCCGUGAAUGGCCAUGGAAAGGAGUAUUGAUGUCAAUAUGUUCGAUCGAGAAGAUUGGAUGAUGAAAGACGGAUCCUUUGUGGUUUGAAUAAUAGGCUGUGGUCUCGAUAUUGGGCUAUGGGCUGAUUGCUUUCUGUAUGAGCCUCUUGUGAUUGGGCUCUCGUGGGCGGAUUACCUGAUGUGUACUCAUCUUCCAACAAAGAGGAGAAGACAUAACCAGAAGAAUUGUGAGAAAGAAGUCAAUUUAUCAAGUUGAUGCUAUUCGAUUUGGAUUUCAAAUAAGAAAGACUGAAAAACACUCCUGCGCCCUCGACAGCAUUCUCUUUCACUUGCAUUUCUUCCUGAAGUUGGCUUGAAGGCCUAUCCAGCCUUGAUUUUCCCAGUUAUAACUCGAGCGCGCUGAGGCAACUCUAAACUAAGCUCAGGGGAGGGGUAGUAGGUAUGCUUCAAACCCUCCGGCACCUUGAAGAACGAUGGCACUAGAUCGGGAAAGAUGAAUGACCAAUGAGGACAGGACAAUGGGGGAAGUUGGUAAUAGAGAAUCCUCCCUUCUUCUUUGCUUUCUUGCCUGAAAAAAAAUCCAAAACUAACCAUUGGAACCGCAUGGGCUACCGAGUUAGGAGAUUCAUCUUAUUUAUUACUUUUACUUUUUUUACUAAGAUGUUCUAAAAGAUAAGAGCUAACCGACCAUCCUAAUUGAAUGUUUGAGUACUCGGAGUCUCUCGUAAGUAUGGAAAGAAAGUCCCUUCUUUCCACAACUCCUAAAUUUCCCAUCAGCCUAUCCAAUCUAAUUCCAGACAGAGUCAGCAGACCUUACUUUAGUGUAGGUAGUGUCAGAUAAUUAGGAAGUCUUGAUAGUCUUUCGUAUAAUCUCUUCUUCAAUCCUAGGAGCAAAAAAGGAAUUUCCCUUAGGGACCUUUGGAUACCAAGAUUUCCGACCUCUUACUUUCAUAGUUAUGAAUUGCGGAAUAGAAUCAAUUAUGAAAUUCAUAAUUAUAUAUCCCUCAUCCCUAUUGGUAUCGGUUUGGGCACUACCCAGAACCCUGCUAGAUCCCUAUUUUUAAGAAGAAAUUGAUAGUCUUUUUUAGAACUAGAACUAUGGUAAAAUCCAGUAUCGACAGGCCUAGUUCUUUUCCUUUGCUUAUGCAGGGCAAGAAUUUGUCGAGUUCAAUCAGUACAAUAAGAAAUCCUAAGUAUUUUUUUGUCAGGCGACACCCAGAUUUGAACUGGGGAUAAAGGAUCUGCAGUCCCCUACCUUACUGCUUGGCCAUGCUGCCAAAUCUGAUCCAAAAUCGAGCAAAAUCUUAUUCAUCCACAUUAUUUUACUAAUUUUUUAUCGUAGGAGGGGAUUAUUAAACCCUUUUUGAUUUUUUUAGAUCGUGGAAUCCCUUUGGACUUAUCCCAUUCCAAUCCCUUUCAAUAAAUUCAUUCCUGUCUUUUAUUGGACCCAGUUUUAUUCUCUUUGAUUGAUUGUAUCUCAAAACACACAUUGCUUAAAUACCUUCUCUUUGUAUUGAAAAUAGAAAGGGUUUCUAGUCACAGACUGCCAAAUUUAGGAAAAAUUGGAACCAUUAACUAUAUUUUUUUUGUUAUUUUGAUAUUUUCUAUUUGUUAGUAGUGAACGGUUCUGAAAUGGGUAUUGUAUCCCAAAUAGUGUUUCCUUAAUGGCAUAACAAAAUCAAAUUGAUUUACGGCUAAUCGGUAUCAAUUAAAAAAAGAGAAUUAUGAUAUGGAUAUAGUGUGACCUGACCCCUGUUGCUCCAAGUGAAAUUCUUUCUAGGGUUCUUAAAGAUAUUCUCCAUUUUUUCCCUUUCCCAACAAUAAAGUAUAGUGUGAAGGCUAGCACGCACCAUUCCUCGCUUAUGAUAAUCAAAGGACAAAAACAAAGAAGGCUCACACCAUAAUAAUACAUACCCUUUUUCCUCGAUCGUCAAGGUCGUGGAUUUGGAUCGAUUUUGGUUUUACGGGCUUCAUACAUUGUUAAGAAGAGUACUUGGCAUUGGAAAUCAUCACGUUCUGGCCACACACAAAAGAAGUCGGUGGAAGGUAUAGAAUUUCUCGGCUGAAGGUCAGAAAGAAAGCAAUCGCCAGUGCUCUCCGUUCCAGCAACGAGUCUUUUCUCUGAGAAUUAAGGAAAACAAACUAACCUUAUAUGUCUAUGUUCACCUUGACAUGAAAGACUCUAACCUGACUGUUCUACCUGGCUAGUUCACUUCACUUUUCGAGGGAUCCUGGAUUGGAGUUCACUUGUCUAUGAGUGUCCGAACAGCUUCAAAUCCUUCCAAGGCGCAGGGGUUCACUCUCCAUUCACUUUGAGCUGGGUUUCUUGUGAUCUUUUUAGUAGUUUUUCCGUCCAAUUUUAUGGUAAAUUAAGUCUAACAUAGCUGUCCCGAAGGAUGUCCAUUCCAUUCGGCAGGGACUCCAUCUCGCAUUCGAUCUCCCUCCUUUCGCUGAAAGGGUCGAGGUCUCUCUGGACUUCUCUUUUGCCUCUCUCCCAGAUUUAGAAAAAGGGAGGAAGAGGGCUUCUCGAUGGGAGUGAUUCCCCGAAAAGAGAUCGUCCCCAGCAUCAUUGAGUUCGUAGUCAAACUCACCUUUAUCCACCUUUCAUGCACUGGUGCGGGCAAGCGCCGAUGUCUGGAGCAGGAGAUGGAAGCUUGGGUUAAGGAGGUUGUCAACGAGUCAACAAAGGCGAUAGAUUGGUUAUAUUCGGUUUCGUUUGAUUUUGAUUUUCUUUUUUUGGUUGUGAGAGGUCUGAGUCCAUGGCUGGGGAAGAGUCGUCAGAUGACAAUUGAAGUAGGGGUCUGCCCCUUUCAACGGGAAGCAAGGGUCUCAUAGGGAAGGAGAUCCUGCAUAGACCAAUCCCAAUCAGGAAGAGAGUCUUGUUGUCAAUGAAAGCAACUUUUCUAUGUCACAUAUCUGCCUAUCUCGUGUUGUGAGCUAUAAAGUACCCACCAAGCGGAUGGACCAAGAAAGUGGCAGGCGAUUGGGUCCUUCCCAUCCUCUGUGAUGGCAAACUCUUUGUCAUUCUUUCACCCUUGCUGAGUACUCAAGAUCGAAUUCAUCAAUCAUUUGAGUUGGUAUGAACAUAGGAAUCCAGACUCCGCUUGAUUCGAUCUUCAGUUUCGACCUUCAUCAGUCAGGAAAAGAAGAAGGACCCACUUAUUCCACUCGGAGAGACCGAACCAGGCAACAAAAAAAAAGAAAAACUGAAGGAAGUUCUCUGUCCAUUCCAACUAAACUAAGUGAAAAAAGGGGGAGAGCAAAACAGAAACACAGGAACAAAGAAACUAUGUCCAAACCAACGAGUCCUUUGGUCGACUGUAAAGAAUGUAUCGGGAGUUGGGAGUUAGCCGUCUCAUAGGAGUGAUAGCUGGGUUUUUCAUGGAGUUUCUUCGUACGAUUGAAAAAAAGAGUGCUCUAGGUCAGAGAAAACAAGAAGAAGAUUGUUCACCAGUCUAUCUCCCAACCUCUUUAAAGCAGCUACCUACCGUGAUCUGGUCUUGGGACAGCAUUGGCACCCCCGUUUGCUGGAUCUUCUAGGCACUCUAAAGCGCUUCCACGAGAGACAGAUGGACUUUGAGUUAUAGACGGAGAAUAGCUUUAGAGGAUCAAGAGUGAUUCCUCAAUAAAACAAAUGGGAUUUGGAGGGAGGGCUGAACGCGAUGUAUUGAAGGGUUCGCUUUCGCUGAUUGGCGCCAGUCUUUCCUGCUGUGAAUUUCCCAGGUCGGGAGGUGCCCUUUCCUUCUACCUUAUUGAACCCAUUCACCAAUGAUUGGAUCACUCAAAGCUAAAGACCAAUUCCUUCCUUUUAGGUGGUCUAGGUGGCUGGGAUACUAUGCCCUUCUUUUUAGAGGCUCAAAGACGAGUUCUUUGAAGGAAGCAAAAGAACCCAUGUGUCUCGAAUGAAGUCUACCCUCUUUCUGUGCCGGGAAGAAGAAUGAGAUCCAACUCAAAGUCGAGGAAAGCGGCCUAGACCACUGACUUUUGAUGGAAGGCUUCUGAACAUGGAUUGGUCUGAUAAAGCCAAUUUUUCGGCGAAUCAAAUAUUUUCUGAGAGCACUAGACCUUCUCUCUUUCAGGAUUGAUUCCCACUCACUGCCUGAUAGCAGGCUUGGACCAUGAGACCUAUUGUCUUAUUGUACUGGCUCAAUUCACUACUUUGGAGGAUGGGUUUUCCCCCUUUUUGGUUCGUAAACGCUCUAACCCAUCGAGAAGCUCCAUCCAAAUUGGAGUUGAUGUGAGCACUUCCCCAGAGGCAGAGGCUUUUUCUACCAAAGGGUGGGAGCAUAAAAUGUAGGUGAGUCAAUUGCGUGUGGCCUUCAAGUAUUUCGUAUUGUAACAAUAUUAGAUCGGCAUCCAAGCAAAGGUGCAUGUACGGUUCCUAAGGGAUACAAUUUUGUCCUAAUCAUCGAGAAAGAUGAAAUACGUUGAUAGCGCGAUAUCGUACUAACACAUACUCUCUAAAUAUUGAAGAACUUGCAUGCGGCCUUCAAGCCACAACCGCGUUAUGAGUUCUGAUCUCAGACUUUGGUUUGAGGGCAGUUGGCCCCUUCGCGUUGACAAGGAAACUAUGGACGGCAAUGGGUUUAGAAUUAGAAUAAAAUGAAGACCCUAUCGAACAAAUAGAGGAAAGGGCGGAAAGGGGAAAAAUUAAAGUCUAAGCGACAUAUGGUAUGAAAAGGAAAUCUAAUUUGGUAAGACUUGAUCUGAAUCGUAGUUCAGAUCCAAGUCAGUUCAGUGAGGGCAACCGCGAAAGUCACCGAAUGGGUUCGGUCCGUCUUUUCCUGAUCUUUUUUUGUCCCCCCCAAAAAGGCGUGAGAGGACGUUGCAGAUGUCCGGGACGGACACGACUUCUUCUAAUGCUAGAAGACCACGGGAAGAAACCCGAGACCAGAGCAUGUCGUGAAAGACGCACACGGGGCGGGCAUGCUUCGACCGUGUCUCCGGGGCACAGUUGAAUGUAGAUAUCAUGAACGCGAGGAUAAGGAUACCAGGCCAAGAAACCCGGGCAAGUACUCCCCUAAUGUGCCGAUCGCUAGCGCAUCGAGGGCCCCGGCGCCCAGCUCUGCUGGAGAGGCCAUCACUGAUCUGAAAAGUGCAUCUGCGGUUCGAAUAGACUGAUUCUGCGAACGCCUAGCCCCAGGAAUCAAUAAAAAAGCAAGUGCUAAGUUUCGUUUCAGAUCAGUGAAUAAACCAAAAAAGAGACCUUUCUCGCUCGACGCCACACUAUGCUCCGCUUCAACAAAUGAGAGUUUUCGGUGGAACCGGUGAACCACGCGAGCUGGUUAGAUGCGUGGGGCAGAGGGCUCAUAGUACCUGAUAGCGCAGCUAUGUAGUGGAAGGGAAGGAGCCUAAGUCGACCCCCUUCUUUCUUUUUUAUUCAAAGACACAAAAGCAAGCACAGUACAAAGAGAUUGGACUCUCGGAUGAGACUAAGCAGCUACCGUUCCAAUGCGCCCCUGACCUAUCUUGAUUCAAACCGAAAACCCUCUCUAAGGUGGAGCCUAGUUGAAGCUAUCAUUCAAAGAAGAAAUGGGAAUCCAAAUCCACUUUGAGGGAUAUAGAUGAAGUCUUGCUCAGUAAAGAGAGUUGUAGAUUCAUAGAAGAGGAUCAGAGUACGCGCGCUCCAAAAGGCAGCUAGCCUGACCCCGGAGGGACCCCCGGUUGUUUUGGCGCGCCCUACCCCAGUGUUAGACUAUUGCCUUUUUAGCCUACGCUUGCUGCUUGCAGCAUGGAUUCGAUAGAUCUAUCGAAUCCAUGCUUCCCCCGCCCCAAAGCGAGACUGUAUCUAUAUCUCAAAGAAUAACGAGCUAGGCGGCCGGCGGGCAAAGAAAGGGGGCGGGGCGUUUACUUGAAAAUGACAACCGCCUGUUCCAGCAGCGGGGGCCUUGCACGAAAGCAAACCUAUGAUUAAGUAGCAGUUGCUUUCUCUGAUGGGCCCAGUGAGGGGGGCAUUGUCCCUCAGUUCUUACCAACCUCAGGUGUGUACAUCUAACUUAUUAUCUUCUUUUUUCAUGCAAGCCUGACCUCAGCUGUCCAUUUCUUAUUCAAUCAGGGUGCCCCUAGUGGACUUGGUAGUGCUCCUUUCUCAAACCAGAACAACUCCGAACAUUAGGGAAAAUAAUGGAAGACCACCUGACCGAACCGACCGAAGGGACUUUACUUAUCCGAACCGAACGUUAGCGGCUGCUUGAUCGGCGGGGAGGAAGAUCUCAAAGUAUGGGGCAAAGGAUCAAGCGCUUUGACUUUGCUUUGUCCCCCAGGAUCCACCACAGGUUGGGUUUGAGAGCCGUGUGAUGGGUGACUAUCUAGCACGGUUCAGAGAGCAUGUGUAUGUAGUCUGCGCUGGUGAAUGGAAGCCCCCGCCGCAAAAAAGAAGCGGCUCUUCCCACGGCUCUGUCACCAUUGACUCUAUUUAUUAUUAUGGUAAAUCAUUGUAUCAAGAUGUCAAUCUUAGAUCUUAUUUUAGUUUGAUACGUCCACCUACAAAACUCGCCCUUGGCUUUCGUCUCGGUAGGUGUAUUAUUCUACAUUUACCCAAAAGGACAUUCAUUCAUUUCUUUCUUCCCGGGUGAUCACCAUGACUAAAACGAAAAAAGACAAGAAAUCAAGACCCGUACUACAAGAAAAGGGCUGGUGGAUGACAUUUGGGAAAGUCGGGCCGAUCGGGUGUCUUCAUUCAAGCGAGGGUACAGAGGAAGAACGAAACGAAGUGAGAGGCCAGGGGGCAGGGAAAAGAGUCGAGUCAAUCGACUGGUAGAAGCAAAACGAAAUCCGGAUUUGGCCGAAAAAGAUGCAACGAUAUGGAUACCAUGACCGAUCACCAUCGAGAAAGAAGAAUUUUGAUAAAUCACUUUGGGUGAGCGGGGCCUUCAAGCGGCCUCAAUACGCCGGGGUUGUAAAUGACAUACCUUUCCUUAUGGGAAAUGCCGCCUCCUUACCAAAAAGGAAUAGAAUCAAGUUAUUUUUACCAAAGAAGUCCCGGUCUGACGGCCCGACGAGUCAUCUACUAAAAAGACCCUCCCCGCUGUGCGCCCCUCCUUGAAUUAUUCGGCCAUGCAAUACUUUUUUAAUACUAAGAAUAAAAUGCAUUUCGACACCGUCCUAGUUCUCAAUCAUUUCGUGGCACCGGGUGUGUCUGAACCAUCUAUGAUGGGGGAGCGAAGGGAGGAAGCUUAGAUAAGAGAAUACGCUCUCGCAUCGCUUUUUUUAGAAAGCUCUACCAUCGAGAAAAAGUGUUUGGCCCGAGCCAAAAAGAGGUUGAUCCACUUCAUUCGCCAACCGAAUGAUCUUCGCUUCGCGGGAAAAACAAAAACCACCAUAUCGCUCUUUCCUUUCUUUGGUGCUCCCUUCUUUUUUUCCAAGGGAUGGGGUUGGGGUGUAUAAUAACCCUCUUUUUGAGUAUGCCCGGAAACAACUCCUAGCUCAAUUUAGGAUCAAAUGUAGGAACCUCAUGGGUAAGGAUAAGGUAAUGGAAUUGAUAGAGAAAUUCAUAGACCUAGGUAGGAUAGGAAAAUUGAUAAAGGGAAUAGAGAUGAUGAUAGAGAUCAUACUGAGAAAGAGGAUAAUUCCGUACGGGUACAACUCUUAUUUGAGCGAAGUGCAAAAAAUGCGAUCUUUUUUGUCUAAUAGAACAAACACUAAUACCUUAAUUGAGUCGGUAAAGAUCAAAUCUGUUUAUCAAAGUGCUUCUCUGAUUGCUCAAGACAUCUCUUUUCCACUGAGGAACAAUCCAAUCUCAUUUCGUUCCAUUUUUAGUAAAAUAGUGAAGGAUAUUCCAUUAAUAAUGCCAAAAGGGGUGGAGGGGAUACAUAUUUGGUUUUCUGGUCGAUUAGGGGGUGCGGAAAUACCUAGAACUGAAUGCGGAAAGUAUGGAAAAACAUCUUGUAAUGUAUUUAACCAGAAAAUUGAUUAUGCUCCCGCGGAAGUAUCUACUCGUAACGGAAUUUCAGGUGUCAAAGUGCGGAUCUCAUAUAGUGAAAAUAAGAAGGGACGUGCUAUAUCCGAAACGUACGAAAUAUAGUAAAUAUUUUAAAUGCAGAUGUAGUAGGGGUCGCGAACCGGAUGGUACACAACUUGGUUUUGGAAGAGCUGGUCGAGCCAUUGAAGCAGCGCGUCGGGCUACAAUCGGACAAUUCCAUUGUGCUAUGAGCGGACAAUUCCGAAGAAAUUGUAAGAUACAUGUAAGAGUUCUCACAGAUCUUCCUAUUACGGGGAAACCCGCAGAAGUUCAAAUGGGAAGAGGAAAAGGAAAUCCGACGGGUUGGAUUGCUCGUGUGUCCACGGGACAAAUCCCAUUUGAAAUGGAUGGUGUGAGUUUGUCAAAUGCUCGACAAGCCGCUAGAUUAGCGGUGCAUAAACCAUGUUCGUCAACCAAGUUUGUCCAAUGGUCGUAACAUAAUUGGUUAGUGGGGAAAAACCGAGCCGGGACUCAAAAGAAUUUGGCGAAGUGUUUGUUCCUGAGCGAGGGAAGUGGAAAGACAAAGAUGGAUAGGGAGCUUGCCUCCUUCUUUUUUGUAAUCGCCGAAAUUGUACGACGACCCUUCUUUUUCCAGGCAUACGACCCUGAGACGUGACGGUGUCACUUUUCCGGCCCGGUAAAGUGACAGUUAUAUAAAUAAGAAUUAGAAAGAGAAGCGUGAUGUUGUCGUGUUGUCAACAAUCAAAUUAUCGUAAAUAGAUAGUAUGGUUGCGUUGUUUCAAUUUCUGUUCAUACUCUGAUUGCAAUGGCUGCAGCUCGAUCUUGGCAAAUCUUUUAAAUGGAUGUCAAAAAUGCUUUCCUUCAUGGUGAUCUACAUGAGUUUUUUCUAUAUGCAGCCACCUCUGGGUAUUGAAGUUCCUGAUGGUCAUGUUUGUCGCCUUCGAAAGGCCCUCUAUGGGAAAAAAGCAAGCACCUCGUGCUUGGUUUGAGCGGUUCAGCUCUGUGGUUCAAGCUGCUGGUUUUCUCUUCUAGUGAGCAUGACCCUGCACUUUUCACUCAUACAUCUGACGGCGGUCGUACCUUGCUUCUUCUCUAUGUUGAUGAUAUGUUGAUCACUCGAGAUGAUCGGAAGUACAUUGCUUUUGUGAAGAAAAAGUUGAGUGAGCAAUUCAAGAUGUCAGAUUGAUUUUCUCUCAGUUAGUUUCUGGGAAUUGUGGUUGAUCAAACAAAUGAUGGUUACUAUCUCUCUCAGCAUCACUAUACUCAGGAUUUGAUCUCACGCUCAGGUCUUACUGAUACACACACUGCCGCUACACCCAUGGACCUCCAUCUCCAAUUGCGCCCUAGUGAUGGUACUCCUCUUGAGGGAUACCACUCGCUAUCGUCAUCUUGUAGGCAGCCUUGUGUACCUCACCGUGACCCGGCCUGACAUUGCUCAUGUAGUCAACAUUGUUAGUCAGUUUGUCAGUGGUUACUUGAGGGAGAUGCAAAUACUUCAUUCUUCCAUAGUGCUGCCAAUGGAAGACACAUAAAAUGUAAUAUUGCUUCUUUGGAACAUGAAGGAAAUGUUAUACAAGAUGAGAAAGAGUUGCAAGAACACAUUUCUAGUUACUAUAAGAGACUAUUUGGUUCAGAGGACAGGGGGACAUAUCUCUUGGUGGAAGCCCCUUGGUGAACAAAGCACAUGCUAUCAGAACUAGACAAUGAAGAGUUGAGUAAGCCUUUCACUAUGGAGGAAAUAGAGUUAGUAGUUACAGAGAUGAAAACCAAUACAGCUCCUGGCCCAGAUGGCUUACUAGUAAUCUUUUAGAAGCUAUUUUGGGAGAUGGUUAAAGAGAUGGUCAAAAGAAUGCUUGAUAGCCCGCAUGCUGAGGAGUUGCAACUUAGAAGACUUAAUUAUGGGGUGGUUACUCUGAUUCCUAAAACGAAAAAUGCUGCAACUAUCAACCAAUAUCGGCCAAUAUGUUUAUAUUAUUUUUUUUAGAAAAUUGUGACUAAAGUACUGAAAAUAGGCUUGAGAGAGUUGCAGAUAAGGUGGUGAGUAAGAGUUAGACGUCAUUUAUGUAAAACGGAAAUAUUUUAGAUGGGGUGGUCACUAUCCAUGAGGUGUUUCAUGAGCUUAGGAGGACUAAACAAGAGGGGGUCAUACUAAAGCUAGACUUUGAAAAAGCAUAUGACAGGGUGAAUGGGAUUUUCUACAAGAGGUUCUACUUAAAAAGGAUUUUCUUUAGCGAGAAGUGGAGAGGUUGGAUUAAACAAGUGGUAGAAGGAGGUGCAGUGAGUAUCAAUAUUAAUGGAGAGGUUGGCCCAUAUUUUAAGAGCUACAAAGGAUUUUUUCAGGGUGAUCUCACCUCUUCUUUUGAAUUUGGUGGUGGUCACACAAAAGGGGGUCACUCAAGUGUACGACAUUCUUUGUUCGUCCAGAUCGCGGUACAUGUUCGGACUGCUCUGGAUUGUAGAGGAACGAAUUUCAGGCUACUUUAGAUGGGGUGGGCUGCACCCAUUCUCGGUAUGUACAAGGUGGGCACCCAUUCUCGGUUAAGAUCGGAAAUCCUAUAGGGGUAGAAAUGCUACAUGAAAAAAUCUGGUCUUGCUGUAUCAGGAAUUGAAAGUAAGUCAACUCCUUCCUCUUAGAGCAACUUGUUGUAGCUGUGACUACUCUUUCUAUUUGAAUUGAAUGUCAGCGAAUCACUUGUUUCACUAAUGUGACUAGUCUUGACUGCUGGUUUUUUCUUUCUAUAGAGAAGUGACUACGCUAGAGAUGCUUAUUAAAGGUUUGCUUGGUGGCUUCCUUGCUUGACAGGCUUUCCUUGUUGAUUGGCUUGGUCUGCUAGUUCCCGGAAAUCACUUCCUCUAAGUAUUAAAUAGUAGAACCUACUCUUUCUUGAAAGAUUGUAGCAAAACUAAGAAAUGAUUUCUCUAACGAGUCAAAUAUGUUGUGAAAUAAGGAAAUGCGCGGAUUGCUUCUUCUACCCUUCUCUUAUUCGCAUUUCCUGCUUAGUAUUGAAAGAAAAGUUGUUACUGUUGCAUAUCCCCUUUUUCCUCUAAUUCGAGCGAGUAAAGGUGCAGCUUCCUCAUCUUUGAUUUAUAGUUUGAUAUAAUAUAGAACUGGAUUUUGCUUUCCUUUAAGGAGCUCUAUCUAUCUUGCCGAUCCACCAGUUCAUACUAUUAAUGAAAGCUCUUUCACCUUGCCCGCGGGUAAUCCCUUACUGAGCCUACUCAAGCAAUCUCCCAUUAGCCGCUCUUUACUUUAUAGUCAAGCGAUUGUAAACUCCCUAUUUAGGCUAGCUACUUUGCUGAUUAACAAGAUUAUCGCAUUCAAGCUGUGAUAGUUAUGUAAACUACUUCUCUAGCAAGUAAUGAAUCUGAGGUCAAAGCCAAUGAGUACAUGGGAUGUUGCUUUUUCGCAGUGAGGGAAGGUUGGCUUGACAGGCUUCGUUCUGGAUGUUGUAAUCUCUUCUCAUGGCCUUUGUUCGCUUUAUUAUCCCGUUGUGAGAAUGGCUAGGACAGUGGAUCCACACGCCCCCCCUCUAGUCAGUACUUUCCGAGUAGCGCAAGGCUUCUUCGUUGGCAAAUAAACGAAUUAAUGAACUAAUUUCCUAAUAUGACGUGAACUUGAACUAGCAUUGAUCAAGUCCAUGAGCUCAUAAGAAGGAGUUCUUCACGUGAGAAACUCCACGGCUUAGCUUAAUUCAACAAAAAAGAAAGUAUCCAAUCGACUUCAGGAGCGCCAUAUGUUUCUAUCUGAAACGGUAAAGUGAGGCUCGCUAUAAGGGUCACAGCUAGUUCAGGAUUGGUAGGAAAGUAAUACAAAUGAUUGUAAUAUGACAACCCCGAGGGGAGCUAGCCUUUGUGUUAAGAUUAAAAAGAAGAGCCCUCUUUCCAUACAACUCGGUGAUUCCAUUGCUCUAUCCGGCUGCAAGAUUCGAUCGCGUAGAGCACGAGCACGAGAUGGGUUGGGGACUUAGAAAUGAGCUAUGCUCCAAGAAUUGACCCCUAACUUACCUUUGCCUAGCUUUUCUUGUAGAAUCCAUUCCCCCUCUUCUAUAUAUUUAGAAUGCUUUUAGGGCUAGUGGAAUGAGGCUGGAACCCAUCAAUAUCGCUAAACCGGGAGAGUUGCUUGUGUUGGGUUCAAAGUUUCGCUCUACCAAGGCAAGAUAUAAUAUAAUAUGCAUCCAGCUUUAGCUGAAUAUCGUGAGUGUUCAGCGAAGUAUGCUAGCCAUUGGCCUUACGUUCAGGAUAUCCUUACUGUCUUUGCGAUGUUUGGUUAUAAGAGAAUGCUGCUCUUCAGAAAACGCGUAUAGUGGCCUUCGUCGAUGGGACAAACGCUCCAGUGUAUGCGUUACAAGGCAACUAGCAUUUUGUCAUGGAAGUUCGUGAAAGAAUGUUCUUGUUUUUCGUUGGAAAAACCAACGCCGACGUCAAGAUCAGUCUCCUUUACUUUCUCUUUUCGGGAGCAGAGCUGAAAAAGAUGGACAGUAACGAUCGCAUAAUAUCAAUUUAUCGGCCUCGUGAUCGAAAGCGCUUCCAAUUGCUCGGAAAUGCUUAGCUAUAUGAGGGACUUUGAUGGUGAUCAAAAAGAAUUGAUCAAGAAAUUGGUAAACUUUCGCAUGAUCGAUGGUAAAAGAACGAGAGUUCGUUCUAUUGUUUAUAAAACAUUUCACCACCUAGCUCGAACUGAAUGCGAUGUAAUAAAACUUAUGGUUGACGCUGUAGAUAAUAUAAAGCCAAUAUGCGAAGUGGUGAAAGUAGGAGUCACAGGUACUAUUUAUGAUGCUCCUGGGAUUGUAGCCAGGGAUCGUCAACAAACCUUAGCUAUUUGUUGGUUCCUUGGAGCAGCUUCGAAACGACGUAUAAGCUACAAGAUAAGCUUAGAGAAAUGUUCAUUUGCUGAGAUACUGGAUGCUUACCGAAAGAGGGGAAUUUCACGUAAGAGAAGGGAGAAUCUUCAUGGACUGGCUUCCACCAAUCGGAGUUUCGCGCACUUCAGAUGGUGGUAAAGUGAUACCACAUAAGGAGCUCUUCCUCAUUAAGUCAUACUCAACAAAAGUAAGAAUUGUUUGACCCGGAUCCUUUUUUCAUCUUCAUAUAGAAAGAAAAUUGGCCUUCCUCAUACUCCCCCUUCAUUCAUAGAGUUUGAGGAAUCCACAAGAGGCCUGCCCGUUCAUAAUUGCAUAAAAGAACCAUUCUUUUUAUGAAAACUCUUGUUCCAACCUCACCUCAGGUCGAAUGAAUACGAAAGGGAGAUCACUCAAAUCAAUAAGCCAUGAAUGAAGAAGUAGUGGGCCUUUCGCCUUAUUUCGUUUGACUCGUGGAGCUGAGAAAUCUACUUCAAAGAGAGGGAAAUAGUGCUAGUCCGAAAGAACAAGCAAGGGAUGAGCGCACGGGAGCGAAAUCCGUUGCGCCCACGCGCAUACGUUUUCUUCUUGGGUAAUUUCUCGGAAAGUUUUUGUGUUGUUGAUUCCUAUUCCUAGGUGUUGUGCUUUUUCCCCUAUGCCGCCUAUUGGUACUAGUGGAGUAGGAUUGGCCUGUAAUAUAGAACCUAUAGGUGGUGUAACCUUUCGCUCAAUACUCAAAUCUACAAUUGAAGCAUCUGAGGCUGCAUCAAUCGACGAUACACGACAUAAGGAAUUGUUAGAUCUCAAAACUAAACUUCGCCUUCACCAAGCGUGGGUUUUCACUGGUCCUAACUAACGGUUGGCAAGCGAUCCCCUAUUCUUCAUCCCGAAGAUCAGACGGCCCAGAGCCGGAGCGAUCAUUCAAGCAAGUUACUCAGCUUGAGUUUUUCAGUCAAUCAAUAGAUUGUUGACAACCCACAAGUAUAGGGGAUCGCAACAGUUUUCGAGGGUAGAGUAUUCAACCCAAAUUUAUUGAUUCGACACAAGGGGAGCCAAAGAAUAUUCCCAAGUAUUACCAGUUGAGUUGUCAAUUCAACCACACCUGGAUAACUUAGUAUCUGCAGCAAAGUAUUUAGUAGCAAAGUAAUAUGGAAGUAACGGUAACGGUAGCAAAAGUAAUAUUUUUGAGUUUUGUACUGAUUGUAACAGUAGCAACGGAAAAGUAAAUAAGCGAAGAACAAUAUGUGAAAAGCUCGUAGGCAUUGGAUCGGUGAUGGAGAAUUAUGCCGGAUGCGGUUCAUCAUGUAACAGUCAUAACAUAGGGUGACACAGAACUAGCUCCAAUUCAUCAAUGUAAUGUAGGCAUGUAUUCCGAAUAUAGUCAUACGUGCUUAUGGAAAAGAACUUGCAUGACAUCUUUUGUCCUACCAUCCCGUGGCAGCGGGGUCCUAACGGAAACUAAGGGAUAUUAAGGCCUCCUUUUAAUAGAGUACCGGACCAAAGCAUUAACACAUAGUGAAUACAUGAAUUCCUCAAACUAUGGUCAUCACCGGGAGUGGUCCCGAUUAUUGUCACUUCGGGGUUGCCGGAUCAUAACACAUAGUAGGUGACUAUAGACUUGCAAGAUGGGAUCAAGAACUCACGUAUAUUCAUGAAAACAUAAUAGGUUCAGAUCUGAAAUCAUGGCACUCGGGCCCUAGUGACAAGCAUUAAGCAUAGCAAAGCCAUAGCAACAUCAAUCUCAGAACAUAGUGGAUACUAGUGAUCAAACCCUAACAAAACUAACUCGAUUACAUGAUAAAUCUCAUCCAACCCAUCACCCUCCAGCAAGCCUAUGCUGGAAUUACUCACGCACGGCGGUGAGCAUCAUGAAAUUGGUGAUGGAGGAUGGUUGAUGAUGGCGAUGGCGACGGAUUCCCCUCUCCAGAGCCCCCAACGGACUCCAGAUCAGCCCUCCCGAGAGGUUUUAGGGCUUGGCGGCGGCUCCGUAUCAUAAAACGCGAUGAAUCCUUCUCUCUGAUUUUUUUCUCGCCGAAAGUGAAUAUAUGUAGUUGGAGUUGAGGUCGGUUGAGCGUCAGGGGGCCCAUGAGGCAGGGGCGCGCCCAGGGCGGCAGGUGCGCCCCCACCCUCGUGGACUGGGUGUGGGCCCCUGACAUGGAUUCUUCUUCCAGUAUUUUUAAUAUUUUCCAAAAAUACGUUCCGUGGAGUUUCAGGUCAUUCCGAGCACUUUUGUUUCUGCACAUAAAUAACACCCUGGCAAUUCUUCUGAAAACAGCGUCAGUCUGGGUUAGUUCCAUUCAAAUCAUGCAAGUUAGAGUCCGAAACAAGGGAAAAAGUGUUUGGAAAAGUAGAUACGAUGGAGACGUAUCAACUCCCCAAGCUUAAACCUUUGCUUGUCCUCAAGCAAUUCAGUUGAUAAACUCAAAGUGAUAAAGAAAAACUUUUACAAACUCUGUUUGCUCUUGUUGUUGUAAAUAUGUAAAGCCAGCAUUCAAGUUUUCAGCAAAGAUUAUGACUAACCAUAUUCACAAUAACUCUUAGGUGUCAUGUUUACUCAUGUCAAUGGCAUAAUCAACUAGCGAGCAAUAAUAAUAAAUCUCGGAUGACAACACUUUCUCAAAACAAUCAUGAUAUGAUAUAACAAGAUGGUAUCUCGCUAGCCCUUUCUGAGACCGCAAAACAUAAAUGCAGAGCACCUUUAAAGAUCAAGGACUGACUAAACAUUGUAAUUCAUGGUAAAAGAGAUCCAGUCACAGUCAUACCCAAUAUAAAUUAAUAGUAAUGGAUGCAAAUGAUAGCAGUGCUCUUCAGCUAGUGCUUUUUAAUAAGAGGGUGAUGACUCAACAUAAAAGUAAAUAGAUAGGCCCUUCGCAGAGGGAAGCAGGGAUUUGUAGAGGUGCCAGAGCUCGGUUUUGAAAUAGAGAUAAAUAAUAUUUUGAGCGGCAUACUUUCAUUGUUAACAUAACAACCAAGAGAUGGCGAUAUCUUCCAUGCUACACACAUUAUAGGCGGUUCCCAAACAGAAUGGCAAAGUUUAUACUCCCCCUCCACCACAAGCAUCAAUCCAUGUCUUGCUCGAAACAACGAGUGCCUCCAACUAACAACAGUCCCAGGGGGAGUUUUGUUUGCAAUUAUUUUGAUUUAGUUUGCAUAAAGCAUGGGACUGGGCAUCCCCGUGACCAGCCAUUUUCUCGUGAGUGAGGAGCGGAGUCCACUCCUCUUGAGAAUAACCCGCCUAGCAUGGAAGAUACAAACAUCCCUAGUUGAUACAUGAGUUAUUCGAGCAUACAAAACAGAAUUUCAUUUGAAGGUUUAGAGUUUGGCACAUACAAAUUUACUUGGAACGGCAGGUAGAUACCGCAUAUAGGAAGGUAUAGUGGACUCAUAUGGAAUAACCUUGGGGUUUAAGGGAUUGGAUGCACAAGCAGUAUUCCGCUUAGUACAAGUGAAGGCUAGAAAAAGACUGGGAAGCGACCAACUAGAGAGCGACAACAGUCAUGAGCAUGCAUUAAAAUUAAUAUACAUUGAGUACAAUCAUGAGUAGGAUAUAAUCCACCAUGAACAUAAAUAUCGUGAAGGCUAUGUUGAUUUGUUUCCACUACAUGUGUGAGCAUGUGCCAAGUCGAGUCACUUAAAUCAUUCAAAGGAGGAUACCACCCCACUAUACCACAUCACAACCAUUUUAAUAGCAUGUUGGCACGCAAGGUUAACCAUUAUAACUCAUAGCUAAUCAAGCAUGGCACGAGCAACUAUGAUCUCUAAUUGUCAUUGCAAACAUGUUUAUUCAUAAUAGGCUGAAUCACGAACGAUGAACUAAUCAUAUUUACAAAAACAAGAGAGGUCGAGUUCGUACCAGCUUUUCUCAUCUCAGUCAGUCCAUCAUAUAUAGUCAUAAUUGCCUUUCACUUGCACGACCGGACGAUGUGAAAAUAAUAAGAGUGCAUGUGCAUUGGACUAAGCUGGAAUCUGUGAGCAUUCAAUAAACAGGAGAAGACAAGACAAUAUGGGCUCUUGGUUAAAUCAACAAUAAUGCAUAUAAGAGCCACUUCAACAAUUUAAUUAUGGUCUUCUCCUAUUGACCCCCAAAGAAAAGAAAAGAAAUAAAACUAUUUACACGGGAAACCUCCCAACAAGCAAUAGAAGAACGGGAAGUCCUUUUGGAUUUUCUUUUAAAUUAUUACUACUAUAGCAAGAAAGUUAAACUAACUAAAAGCUACUACUAAUUUUUUGGUUUUUCUUAAGGUUUAACAAACACACAAGAAGAAAGCAAGAAAAAGAGAAUAAACUAGCGUGGAUAAUACAAUGAAAAAGUAUGAGCACCGGCGUCUAGCAAUGAGUGUGUGAACAUGAAUGUAAUGUUGGUGGGGAAUACGUACUCCCCCAAGCUUAGGCUUUUGGCCUAAGUUGGUUUAUUGCAACGGAUGGCCUGGCGGAUAUCCAUAAUUGUAGCCGGGGCCGUACUGCGCUGCGGCAGUUAUUGCCUCCUGAGCUGCAACGUGGCGGCGAGCUGCCUCCGCCCUCCUCUCGUACUCAUCUGCCUCCUCUCUGGUAAUAAAAUGUCUUCCUUUUGCCUGAUAAUCAAAGAAGGCAGGAGCAUGGAGAGUAAUACGGACAGCACGACAUCUGUCAAAGAUUAAACGAUACUCGAGAGGUGAUUCAUUCCUCUCGACAAACUGGUGGUGAACCAUAGCAUUAAAGUCUAGGUAAGCAGGAGGCAAUUCAAUGUCAUCAUUACGUAUGGUUACAUCAAGAAAAUCAGCUAAGCGGGUUGCAUAAAUUCCACCAAAUAAAUCUCCAUUAAAUCUAUUAUGAUGCAACCUACAUGCAACAAUGGCUCCCAAAUUAUAAGAUUUGUCUCCUAACACAGCAAUCCUAAGAAUACUGAGGUCGGGGACACACAUAUGACAUGCUUUAUCUUUACCAUUUAUGCACAUACCUAUGAAGAGAGAAAAAUAAUGUAUAGCAGGACAAUGAAUGCUCCCUAUGGUAGCUUGUGCUAUAUCUCUAGAUUCCCCCACAGUUAUACUAGCAAGAAAAUUUCUAAAUUCAGAUUUGCGAGGUUCACUAGCACUACCCCAUUGUGGAAGUUUGCAAGCAGUGGUAAAAUCCUCUAAGUCCAUCGUAUAAGAUUUUUCAUAAAGAUCAAACAGGAUAGUUGGGGAAUUAUGUGAAGAUGAAAAUUCAAACCUCCUCACAAAGGAACUAGUGAGAUAGUGGUACUGGCGGCACUUUUCUUCCUCGAAGCUCACAAGAUCAGCGUUACGCAAAUAUGCGUUAAAUUCUUCCUUGAUUCCCACUCGAUCCAUAAAGUUCUCUGAAGGCCAUUCAUAAGGCCGCACUGGAGCGUCCCUUGGUCCCUCAUCGUCAGCAUCACGCAUUGCAAGCCUGGGUCCUUGCUUCCUUGAAGAACCACCUUGGUACAUUUUCCUAAGCAUAUUUCUUCCUCUGAAAAAUUUCUGAAAUUAUUAGUAACUACAAACAAAAGUGAACCAAGCUCAACAAAAUUGAUAGCAACUACUCCUACAAGUGCCUAGAGACUAUAUCAUGCAUUAGAACUACUUGGAACCAUAUGAAUUUGACAUGCAAGCUCAAGAACAAGGUCACCCAGGCAGCACAAAUUUGCAAUGAAUAAAGCACUAGAACAAAAACUAAUUGGACCAAUGGAGGAGUCACAUACCAAGGAACAAUCCCCCCAAGUAGUUUUGUGAGAGGUGCUUUGAGCAAGGAGAUCGAAAAUCGCAGCAAAAUGAGCUAGAACUCGUGCUUGAGCUGGAUGGUGAUUUUUUUGGGAGGAAGAAGGAGUGUGUGGGUGCAGGAAUAAGUGGAGGGGGGCCACCGUGGGCCCACGAGGCAGGGGGCGCGCCCUGUAGCGGUGGGCGCGCCCUCGACCCUCAUGGCCAGGUGCUUGCUCCCCCUGCUGUGUUCUCAGUUCCAGAUAUUCUCAAAUAUUCCAGAAAAAUCAUAUUCCAUUUUCAGGGCAUUUGGAGAACUUUUAUUUUCGGGAUAUUUUUAUAUUGCACGGAUAAAUCAGAAAACAGCCAGAAAAAUACUAUUUUUACUUUAUUUCAACUAAAUAAUAGAAAGUAAAGGGAGGGUACAGAAGGUUGUGCCUUCUAGUUUCAUCCAUCUCAUGCUCAUCAAAAGGAAUCCACUAACAAGGUUGAUCAAGUCUUGUUAACAAACUCAUUCCGAAUAACAUGGAACCGGAGAAAUUUCGAAUAACACUAUGUUACCUCGACGAGGAUAUGCACAUCCCCAAUAAUAAGAAUAUCAUAUUUCUUCUUGACAGUAGGAAGAGGAAAUUCAAAACCUCCAAAAAUAAUCGAUGGAAUUUUUCCAAUAGAAUUGAUACUAUGAACUGGAGUUUGUUUCCUCAGAAAGUGUACCGUGUGCUCAUUACCAUUAACAUGAAAAGUGACAUUACCUUUGUUGCAAUCAAUAACAGCCCCUGCAGUAUUCAAAAAGGGUCUUCCAAGAAUAAUAGACAUACUAUCGUCCUCGGGAAUAUCAAGAAUAACAAAGUUCGUUAAAAUACUGACGUUUGCAACCACAACAGGCACAUCCUCACAAAUAUCGACAGGUAUAGCAGUUGAUUUAUCAGCCAUUUGCAAAGAUAUUUCAGUAGGUGUCAACUUAUUUAAAUCAAGUCUACGAUAUAAAAAGAGAGGCAUAACACUAACACCGGCUCCAAGAUCACAUAAAGCAGUUUUAACAUAGCUUCUUUUAACGGAGCAUGGUAUAGUUGGUACUCCUGGAUCUCCUAGUUUCUUAGGUAUUCCACCCUUGAAAGUGUAGUUAGCAAGCAUGGUGGAAAUUUCAGCUUCCGGUAUCUUUCUUUUAUUAGUAACAAUAUCUUUCAUGUACUUAGCCUAAGGAUUCAUUUUGAGCAUAUCAGUUAAUCACAUACGCAAAAAGAUAGGUCUAAUCAUUUCAGCAAAGCGCUCAAAAUCCUCAUCAUCCUUUUUCUUGGAUGGUUUGGGAGGAAAAGGCAUGGGUUUCUGAACCCAUGGUUCUCUUUCUUUACCGUGUUUCCUAGCAGCAAAAUCUCUCUUAUCAUAACGUUGAUUCUUUGAUUGUGGGUUAUCAAGAUCAACACCAGGUUCAAUUUCCACAUCAUUAUCGUUGCUAGGUUGAGCAUCAUCAUGAACAUCAUCAUUAACAUUUUCAUUAGGUUCAUGUUCAUUACCAGAUUGUGUUUCAGCAUCAGAAAUAGAGAUAUCAUUUGGAUUCUCAGGUGGUUCAGCAAUAGGUUCACUAGAAGCAUGCAAAGUCCUAUCAUUUUUCUUUUUCUUCCUUUUAGAAGGACUAGGUGCCUCAAUAUUAUUUCUCUGAGAGUCUUGUUCAAUUCUCUUAGGGUGGCCUUCAGGAUACAAAGGUUCCUGAGUCAUUUUACCAGUUCUAGUAGCCACUCUAACAGCAUAAUCACUUUUCUUACUAUUCAAUUCAUUGAGCAAAUCAUUUUGAGCUUUAAGUACUUGUUCUACUUGAGUGGUAACCAUAUAAGCAUGUUUACUAAUGAGUUUAAGUUCACCUUUAACAUUAGACAUAUAAUGACCCAAGUGUUCAAGCAUGUCGGAAUUGUAUUUCAAUUGUCUACCAAAAUAAGCAUUGAAGUUUUCUUGUUUGACAAUAAAAUUAUCAAACUCUUCUAAGCAUUGUCUAGCAGACUUAUAGUUAGGAAUAUAACCUUCGUCAAAUCUAUAGAGAGAAUUUAACUUUACUACCUGUGUCGGGUUAUCAAGACCAUGUGUUCCUUUAAUAGGUGAAGGAUUAGGAUCAUAUGUUUCUUCAACAGGCGGUAAAUCAAGACCAUGUAUUUCUUCAAUAGGAGGUAAAUUCUUAAUAUCUUCAGCUUUAAUACCUUUUUCUUUCAUAGAUUUCUUUGCCUCUUGCAUAUCUUCAGGACUGAGAAAUAGAACACCUCUUUUCUUCGGAGUUGGUUUAGGAAUAGGCUCAGGAGCUGGCUCAGGAAGUGUCCAAUUAUUUUCAUUUGUCAACAUAUUACUCAAUAGAAUUUCAGCUUCAUCCGGUGUUCUUUCCCGGAAAACAGAACCAGCACAACUAUCGAGGUAAUCACUGGAAGCAUCGGUUAGUCCAUUAUAAAAGAUAUCAAGUAUUUCAUUUUUCUUGAGAGGAUGAUCAGGCAAAGCAUUAAGUAACUGGAGAAGCCUCCCCCAAGCUUGUGGGAGACUCUCUUCUUCAAUUUGCACAAAAUUAUAUAUCUCCCUCAAAGCGGCUUGUUUCUUAUGAGCAGGGAAAUAUUUAGCAGAGAAGUAAUAAAUCAUAUCCUGGGGACUACGCACACAACCAGGAUCAAGAGAAUUAAACCAUAUCCUAGCAUCACCCUUUAAUGAGAAUGGAAAUAUUUUGAGGAUAUAAAAGUAGCGGGUUCUCUCAUCGUUAGUGAACAGGGUGGCUACAUCAUUUAAUUUAGUAAGAUGUGCCACAACAGUUUCAGAUUUAUAGCCAUGAAAAGGAUCAGAUUCAACCAAAGUAAUUAUAUCAGGGUCAAUAGAGAAUUCAUAAUCCUUAUCAGUAACACAGAUAGGUGAAGUAGCAAAAGCAGGGACAGGUUUCAUUCUAGCAUUAAGAGAUCGUUGCUUCCAUUUAGCUAAUAACGUCUUUAGAUCAUAUCUAUCAUUGCAAGCUAAAAUAACUCUAGCAGCUCCUUCUUCCAGAACAUAACCCUUAGGAACAACAGGCAAUUCAUAGUUAUUAGGGGAGAGUCUUCAUCAUCACUAUGUUCAAUAUUAUCAGUUUCAAUAAUUUCAUUCUCUCUAGCCCUAGCAAGUUGUCCAUCAAGAAAUUCACCAAGUGGCACAAUAGUAUCAAGCAUAGAAGUAGUUUCAUCAUAAGUAUCAUGCAUAGCAGAAGUGGCAUCAUCAAUAACAUGCGACAUAUCAGAAUGAAUCGCAGAAGCAGGUUUAGGUGUCGCAAGCUUACUCAAAACAGAAGGUGAAUCAAGUGCAGAGCUAGAUGGCAGUUCCUUACCUCCCCUCGUAGUUGAGGGAUAAAUUGUUGUUUUUGCGUCUUUCAAGUUCUUCCAAGGGACCAGCAGAUAUAAAUCCCAAGUGACUCAAAGAAUAGAGCUAUGCUCCCCGGCAACGCGCCAGAAAAUAGUCUUGAUAACCCACAAGUAUAGGGGAUCGCAACAGUUUUCGAGGGUAGAGUAUUCAACCCAUAUUUAUUGAUUCGACACAAGGGGAGCCAAAGAAUAUUCUCAAGUAUUAGCAGUUGAGUUGUCAAUUCAACCACACCUGGAUAACUUAGUAUCUGCAGCAAAUUAUUUAGUAGCAAAGUAAUAUGGAAGUAACGGUAACGAUAGCAAAAGUAAUAUUUUUGGGUUUUGUAGUGAUUGUAACAGUAGCAACGAAAAAGUAAAUAAGCGAAGAACAAUAUGUGAAAAGCUCAUAGGCAUUGGAUCGGUGAUGGAGAAUUAUGCCGGAUGUGGUUCAUCAUGUAACAGUCCUAACAUAGGGUGACACAGAACUAGCUCCAAUUCAUCAAUGUAAUACGUGCUUAUGGAAAAAACUUGCAUGACAUCUUUUGGCCUACACUCUCGUGGCUGCGGGGUCCUAACGGAAACUAAGGGAUAUUAAGGCCUCCUUUUAAUAGAGUAUCGGACCAAAGCAUUAACACAUAGUGAAUACAUGGACUCCUCAAACUAUGGUCAUCACCGGGAGUGGUCUCGAUUAUAGUCACUUCGAGGUUGCCGGAUCAUAACACAUAGUAGGUGACUAUAGACUUGCAAGAUAGGAUCAAGAACUCACAUAUAUUCAUGAAAACAUAAUAGGUUCAGAUCUGAAAUCAUGGCACUCGGGCCCUAGUGACAAGCAUUAGUGGAUACUAGGGAUCAAACCCUAACAAAACUAACUCGAUUACAUGAUAAAUCUCAUCCAACCCAUCACCGUCCAGCAAGCCUAUGAUGGAAUUACUCAUGCACGGUACUGAGCAUCAUGAAAUUGGUGAUGGAGGAUGGUUGAUGAUGACGAUGGCGACGGAUUCCCCUCUCCGGAGCCCCGAAUGGACUCUAGAUCAGCCCUCCCGAGAGGUUUUAUGGCUUGGCGGCGGCUCCGUAUCGUAAAACGCGAUGAAUCCUUCUCUCUGAUUUUUUUUCUCCCCGAAAGUGAAUAUAUGGAGUUGGAGUUGAGGUUGGUGGAGCGUCAGGGGGCCCAUGAGGCAGGGACGUGCCCAGGGGGGCAGGUGCGCCCCCCACCCUUGUGGACAGGGUGUGGGCCCCCUAACUUGGAUUCUUCUUCCAGUAUUUUUAAUAUUUUCCAAAAAUAUGUUCCGUGGAGUUUCAGGUCAUUCCGAGAACUUUUGUUUCUACACAUAAAUAGCACCAUGGCAAUUCUGCUGAAAACAGCGUCAGUCUGGGUUAGUGCCAUUCAAAUCAUGCAUGUUAGAGUCCAAAACAAGGGCAAAAGUGUUUGGAAACGUAGAUACGACGGGGACGUAUCAAUUGUGCAGUUUCUUAAUUAGUCUUUUUGUCCACGUCUUCAUGACUUACAAAAAGGGUUUCUUUCUUUUACAAGAUCAUGGAAGCUUCAGAAACCAUCCGAGAUCAUCUGAAAACUAGAAAUGUUGCAUCAAAGGGUUCAGUGGUCAUAUCAUAGUGAAAUCGAGUUUCUUGAUUUAGUCGAUAUCAAAUUCCCAACUUAGAAAUUCGAAAGGACUAAGAUUCUACUUCUUCCUCAAAUACUGGGAAUGUGGAUUCAAGUAUGAUAUCACUAUUCCACAGAUCUCAAGAAAACGAAUUGAACAAGUUUGAUGGCUAGAAGAAGAUAGGAAAUAUUCAAACAGGUGUUGCAUUUCAUUGAUCUCACCCUUCAUUCAGUGCCGCAUAAGUACUGACUUCUUGAACAGAUACCGGUACCGGUCAUGAAGGCUUCGCCCUUCUCAAGUCAAGUGCAGAAGCAAAAUCCGUUGAGCAAGAAGCCAGUGAUCCCACAACAUCAAAGUGAUACAUAUGACAUAUUGGAAAUUAGGCUUAGUUUGUAGCUGUGAAUAUAGUAAUGCACUUAUUUAUUGAUAAAUAUGUUCUUUCAAGUAGAGCAUACUCAGUGGAAAGGAGGUGGCGGAGCUGGGAAGAGGAUUAUACUUUAUCGAUUACUUGGACAUAGAGACCAAUUAUAGAAAGAAGACAGUAGCUGAGUGAGUUUUAUGGAUCUAGUUUAUGAGCAGCUUAACUAGAAAAGCAAGCAGAAGGAAUAGAAGAAUGAAAUGCAGAAAUAGGGGAAGGGCGGGUAGCAUUUUAAAAUGCCAGUUUGAGUGAGACAGUUUCUGUCUGGCCCCCCACUUUUUUGUUGUUCUUCCAUUCUGCCUUUGUCUUGCUCUAAGCUACCUGACUUCCUUCCUUUGUUCUUCCAUUCUACUUUGUAUGAUUCUGAUCAUCAGUUCUUAUCGAUCCCAUUUUAAGGACAAAUCCUGAUGUUGGUAAAAUAUACGUGUUCAUCAAGGCCAAGGACAAUGAAGCAGCCAUGAAAAGAUUGAAGAACGAGGUAUGAUGAUUACUUCGGAAUACUUUCUGUUCUUCAUGCAAAUGACCAUAUUUUCCGUCCGCAAUACAGGUAGAAGAUACUGAGUUGUUCAGAUGUUUACAAGAAAUCCGUCGGAAAAACUACCACAACUUUGUAUUAAGCAAGCAGGUUCCAGUCGUUGGUAAUUUCAGGGAAGCCUACAUUGGCAUUGCUCCUGAGUUAGCCAAAGAGAUCGCGAAAGAAGUGGAUGUUAUCGUAAACUCUGCAGCAAAUACCACUUUUGAUGAGAGGUUCGUGAAGCUAUACUAGUCUUGCACCAAGGAUUGCAUUGAUUACUAAAUGUGUAACUUCACAUUCCAUAGCAAUAAAAGUAUUGCAACUUGCAGGUAUGAUGUAGGACUAGACAUCAACACCGUGGGGCCAUUCUAGAUAAUGAGUUUCGCGCAGCGGUUUCGAAGACUAAAGCUCUUCUUGCAAGUAUCAACAAGUCAGAAUGCCAAAUAAGAGUUUCUUGUGGUCGAAAUCAAAUGGUAACCUGUUUCUAUUAAUCUCAAAAGCUUACAAACAAGCUUUAGCAGUAUGUUUACAUGUCAUAUUUUUGGCCAAACAGCAUAUGUGAAUGGGCAGUGGCAAGGUUUGAUACUAGAGAAGCCAUUUUGCUUAGGGGAUACCAUAACAAAGGGGAUAGGUUCCUCGGAUUUUUCGGCACAUCAGAAUACCGUGUUGGAUAUCGAGGCUGAGAUCAAGUUGACUUUUGACUCCAGAAGGCAUUCUUCUGCCUCUGCUUCUGUUACUCAAGAAAUGAAAGACUUAGGUAGUCGAGGUAUUCUAGUAUUUCCCUGUUACUUUCUCGGGUCUGUAGAUACGAAUACACACAUGAAGUAUUUGAUUUGUGCAAUUUAUCUAUUCAUAGGGCCAAACUCUAUGGUUGGCAAGACACUUAUGUGUUCACAAAGGCCAUGGGCGAGAUGGUCAUCAACUGCAUGCGAGGAGAGAUACCGGUGCUAACAAUCAGGCCAAGUGUUAUAAAGAGCACAUGUUGCGGAUGUCACAUAUAUAUGUGAUGCAUCCUCGUCUGCUUACCAGAUAAUGAGCUAUUUCUAGGAUCUAGCAGUGCGUACUAACUUUUGACGGGUUGAUGGUGAGGAUCAAGUAUAUGACCUAUAUUCCUCGCUAGUAGAGGACUUCAAAGAGGAGAUUCCAUCAUAAUCUCUGGAAGCUAGUGUCAAGGAAGCCGUUAGCCGUCACCUUAACUGAAAGUUGGUGAAGAAGGUGUAUAUGCCUCUUGUCUAUGGUAAGACACAACAUAGUGCAGGAGCGGACAUCCAGAAGGGGCUUGACUUCAUUAGAAAACAUGCUGAAAGCAACAAAGUGGUGGACAUUUUUUGUUGCAUUUUGGGAAAAGAAAUUCCCAGCCAUUGCUAGGCUGAGCCAUGUUAGCAAAGAAUGGUUUCUCCAACAAUAUGAGGAUAAAUCCCUUACUAAAAUGGUAGUGGUCACAAACCCCUUCCGUGUACAAUUGAAAACAUUAACAAUAUGAAAGCAAGAAUCAUCAUUUAUACUGGGAAUGCCUUCCUCUACCAAAAGAGAAAGAGUUGAAGAUAACGAAGGAAAGUGGGUGGAUAGAAAACCAGUUCAUAUCACUUGUCUUUCUGGUCUUUCAGAAUCUCAUCGAAUACUAGUAAAUGCUUUCGAAGAGAAAAUAGAAGCACUAGAGAGCUCAAGUUCACUUCAUUCAUCACAGGAUGCAAAUGAUAAUCAAAAUGGAGAUAAUGAGGAAGAAAUCACUUCUACUACAACUUUUUUGAGUGAAAUACCAACCAACACAUAAAGCAAUAACCAGAUAGAUAGAAUGAUAACAGGUAAUAUGAAGAUAUCAACACAGGCGGAGUCACGAGGCUCGAUAAUGACCAAUGGGUGAGGAUCUGAGGAAGCUUAGUUUGGAUGAUGGAAUAUUCGCUGUUCUGAUUGUUGAGAUACUGCAAAUUGUGGCACCCAAGUUUUUAUUUGGAUUUUUUUGAAAAGAUUUUAUUUGACUUGAGGGGAGUGAUUUAAAAAAUUUUCUUCAAGAGAACUCUCCCUCUCAUAUAUUUUCUUUAUGGCAAAAAUUUUAUUUGGAUUCACCCAAGAUCUUCCUUUGACCUUGGGAGUUCUUGCUCUUCAUUUGGACUCAAGAAAAAAUGUUUUUUUUUCAUUUGGGAAAAGAACUUUUGAAAACCUUUUUCUGAAUUUGCACUAUGGCUUUUGGAAGGUACUUUGCCACUUUCAACUAUUCCUUCUUGCCAUGGCAUAAGUGCAAAUCCUCUCUCCUAAACACUCCCUCACCUCUGGAUCAUGAUUUACAUCAAAUCCAGCAAGUUGAACCUCCCCAUGUAUUUAUUUUCCAUUCAAAUUCUAUUCAAAUAUUUUCUGCCUUCUAUUCUACCUCUUGGAGAUUUACAAAGGAACUCCAUUUUCUGUUUGGACUUUUACCACCAAACUUCUUUCCCCUCCUAGUCCUUUGAACCCUCAACCUAGAACCAUGAAGAUCCACUGGUCUCCAGUUCAAAAUUUUCAAACUACAUCAGCUGCAAGUUUGGACCGGAUUUGGCAAAUUUGGUGAAAUUCAUUCAAAACCUUCUCCAAAAAUUCCAAAUAAAUUCAUGCAGCCCCUGGGUGCUUUGAGUGGUCAUCUCACCAAGUUACAGCUCCAGCAAAAUUUACCUCUUUACCAAAACCUACUGUCGAACACCUGCAAUGCAUGGUCACUGUCAAGUUUCAGUAACUUCAAAGUUUCAGUUCAGUGCUUGCUGUCGUUUUCUUCAGAAACGGGCAUCGAUCUCGCCAGUACCGCCGCGUCGCCUUGCUCCUCGUCCUAGCCCACUUGUUCCUGCACCGCACGAGCGCCUGGCACCUUGCGGGCGUCGGUGACAGGCAGCAGGAGGUGCGCCGCCCCGUGACCGACGCCGGCGGCGGCUUUGCGGACGCCAGCGGGAGACACGGCGCCGACGACUCCACCCAGCGCCGCCCAAACCACCGGAGCCCGCCGCGUGGCCGUCCACUCCCCCGAAUGCGCUGCCGCUCUCGUCGUGAACCGCAGGGCGCGGAGCGCGCUCUCUGCCGCCGUUGAGCCCGUGCGGUCACCUCACCGUGGGCAGACGCCAUUACGCCAGGGCCAGCUCCGUUUAGCUGCAAAACGAGUCCCGUAACAUCCACCGAUGCUGCCCGACCGCUCAAACCCUCUGCCAACCCACUGCUCCGCCGUAAUCGCUCGCCGGAGAUUCUCCGUUCACGGCCACCCCGUCGAUCUGCCCAUAUAUAGAGGUCCCGAGCUUCAACUCGAGCACCCACCAGCCCUGCACUUCCUCUAGAGCACGCCUAGCCACUGGAAGAGCCCCGACGAGGUCUCCUUCCUCGACUCCGUCCGCCGCGACCCGCCACGGGAUCCAGCCCGAUUCGCCCCCAUGUGUGCUCCGCAGCCUCCAUUCUCUUGCCAGUAACUUCACCAUGCAUCUCUCGUCUGACCCGCACUUCAAUUUGAAGCUUGCAGCCCUCCACCGGAGUUCCCCAUCCUCACCCGAGCCGCCGUCCGCCGGAGAUAGUGUCGCCGUCGACGUGGUGCUCCCCGUUGGACGAGUCCACCACCCACCGACGCGGAAGAAGACACCGAAGCUCUUGGUACCCUCCAUUUCUCCUAACUCGCCGUGGUUCGACGCCGGCGUCCACCGCCGUCUUCGGGCGCCGGCGAGCCUUUUCAAACCUGACAUGCGGGCCCCGCGUGUCAUCCUCUGUUCUAUUUCCCCGAACCGUUUUCUGUUGACGCCUUCGGGCAAAAUACGUCUUCUCUCUUGCGCUUGCGCAUUUCCAAACGAACCGUUUUCUGUUUUCUCAGUUAAAACCCUGGAACUUUUCUGUUUCAUUACAGAAAGGUCCCUGGACAGAAACCUUUAUAACUUUUUAAUAAAAAGGUAUUUUUGAGUGAUUCUUUUUCUGACAUUCUUAAAAUUUUGUCUAGUUUUUUAUGGGAUUUAUUUGGGAAAUAUUUGGCACAGUUUCUGUGCAUGUGUUGGUUUUCACGUUAGUACCCGUUUCGUGAUUGCCGUAGGUUCCGGGAGAGGUGACGGAGCCGCGAACUUCGCCGAGCUAGAUUCCGACUUCUCUGAACCAGGCAAGCAUGUUUGGACAUUUGAUAUGGCAGAAGUUUUGCAUGUUCAUGUGAAAGUUUGUGUGUGGCAUAUGAGUGUCGGUAAAUAUCUCGUUGCUCGUAAGGCAACGACCCGGUUGUUCCGAAGUUGCGAUGACCUCUGAUGAGAGGUGGCCUAAUCAUGUAGUGACAUGAAGUGCAGCAAGGUGGUACUGUUGUAGCAUGCCAGCCUUGCGUCAUCCGACUUUCUUCGACGUUAACGUGGUUGGAGCCACGUUAUCGAUCUUUUCCCGCAUGUUCCAAAGUUGCGAUGACCUCUGAUGAGAGGUGGCCUAAUCAUGUGGUGACAUGAAGGGCAGCAAGGUGGUACUGUUGUAGCAUGCCAGCCUUGUGUCAUCCGACUUUUUCGACAUUAACAUGGUUGGAGCCGUGUUAUCGUCCCUUCCCCUUUCCGUGCUACCACAUGUCUCAUUGCCAGGAUACGGUUUAGUAAGUUGGUAACCUCUUUCCGUGUACACACCAAACAGAGAGGCCGGGAUGAUGGUACCUUGGCCCAGGAUUAAAGCCAGUCAUUCGGUCAGGGGGCAUGGGUGUUUCCGGUUGGGACCGAGAGGGGGGCACCCCCUUAUAGCGCGCGUAUAGAAAUUUGAUCCCAUGCUACGCGAGGUUGUAGCCUCCCCGACUCAAGGUUUUUCUUGAAUGUUGCCGAGGGUGAUCCCUGGCUUCGGAUGGUUGAAUUGGGUGUGUACUGGUUAGACGUGUUCCUUCCAGAACACCGUAGACGGAACUAGUCCCUGUGACUACUGAAAUCCGUUGGCUGUGGUUAAGUACAAACUCUGCAGAGUCAAUUCUUUCCAAAUCAUCGUAUCCAUGAUCAGUAGUGUAUACAUUAUAUCCAUAUCUAUCCAUGUGAAAAACUUGUCCCCGGUGAACAAGCUCAAGUGGUAAAAUCUCAGGUUUUAUUGUUAUUCCAGUGGAUGGACAAGCUUUAUUUUGUGUCUCAUGCUUGUGAUAAUUUAUGUCUCCGAGCUGUUGUAAUAAUGAAAUGUGAUAUAAGCCCUUUAGGUGACGUCGCGCAGACGUCCGACUGUGGCGUGUACUCGUUUCUCACUUUCGAUAUAAGCCCUUUAUGUGAUGUCGCUCAGACGUCCGACUGCGGCAUGCACUGCCUUUACUUUCUGUUAUAAGCCCUUUAUGUGGUGUCGCCCCGACGCCCGACUGUGGCAUUAUCAUUCCGCAUUUUCCGCUCGAGGAGUCUUUCAGACACUCGUUUGGCACCUGCAUUAUCAUUCCGCAUUUUCCGCUCGAGGAGUCUUUCAGACACUCGUUUGGCACCUGCAUUAUCAUUCCGCAUUUUGCGCUCGAGGAGUCUUUCAGACACUCGUUUGGCACCUCUAUUAUUAUUCCGCAUUUUCCGCUCGAGGAGUCUUUCAGACACUCGUUUGGCACCUGUAUUAUUAUUCCGCAUUUUCCUCUCGAGGAGUCUUUCAGACACUCGUUUGGCACCCGUAUUACUAUUCGGCAGUUUCCGCUCGAGGCAUCAUUCAGACCCUCGCUUGGCACCCAGUAUUUAUUAUCUCUAUGUCUGAUCGCACUGGUUAACUUAUUCAUGUGUUUUAUGUUUGCAUUUGUUAUACCUUAUGUCCGAACUGUCUUGCGAGUACUUUCAUAGUACUCACCUGGCUUGUUGAUUUGGCCAGAUGUUGACGAAGGCGAUCUCUUGGAUGAAGAGUUUGAUAGCGCGUCCGAUGCCUAGAGGAGUCCCAGUCAGUCCUGCGCGAUCCCGGAUUUUGGUAACUUGUAUUGUAUACGCUUCCGCCACCCGCAAUAAGUCUUCUCGAGUCUCGCUCCGACGCUCGAAGAGCUGUAGUCUUCUGGAGACAUAUCACUCGCCUCGCGGUGAUAUCUCCACCAUCGUCAUUAUCGUGAGUUAGUAGUCUGCCACCCUAUCCGCCGUAUUGUUUUAUCGGCAUGCAUGUAAUAAAUUGUUGGGCAGUCUCUGCUCAACUUUGUAUUAUAUUUAGUACUCCUGGUAUUUUUUUCUUCUGUGACCAAUGUAUUGUCUAUCAGUGAGAAGGAAUUCUUCCUCGCUGGUCCGUAACAGGGAUUGGUUUCUCAAUAAUUAUUUUAUUGAAAAACCGGUCGUGACACAAAUCCACUUAUCCAACAAUUUCAGUCCAUUUUCCUACUUUUUCUGCAAGGGGUUCAAGGGGAAAGCAUUAUUAUAUCCUUAAUAUGACUCUCUGUCACAUGGAUGUUGCUGGGCUGCUACAAAACCCCUAUAGUCGAAAAAAAGAUCAAAACAGGGAUAAAACAUAGGAUAACCCAGAUCACUCGGACUAGCUGAACUCGCCAAAACAAACACAACCUAGGUGGUUUGCCUUACGUUUUGGCACAUUAGACUAACCUAAGACAUCUCCUGGCUACAUUCAGUCCUAUCGAGAUACAAGCUGUUACCAACCUGAUACAACCCAAGUCACAAGCUUGACACAGCGAGAAUGGCUGCAACUGACAACUCCUGCAUCUGAGAUUGACAACUCUAGUAACAGAGAAUAACAACUCCUGCAAUAGAUAUUGACAGAGCAUGACACUCUCAACUGAGCUCAAUCCACCUGUGAACAAUAAACAACACUGAAAGUAAACAACACGAUUAUCACAAAACUUGGAUUCUGGAUUGAUAUUCCACAAGUAGAUAGAGUCCCAUUCAAAAAUAUAGCAUAACUAAUCACAGAAUAACAGAAGCUUAUGAUAAAUAUGAGCAAAAUUAUUUCACGGUUCAAUAACUAUAGGCAAUGAACUGCACCUUAUUGAUAGUUACGACAAUAUACAUCGUUCUUCAUAUUACAACACUAUAGGUAAUGAACCACCACUAACGGCCCAUAACGUUAGCUCAUAGCCGCUGACCGUGGAGUACUUACCGAUCCAUCAGCGAGGACUGUAUCAUUUAGCGAGCUAAAAACUUAAGGAACAUGUAUGUGAGAGUUCCACUUUAGCUCCCUCAACACCAGGCGGGACGAGCAGCCCUAUACCACGUGUAGCCACACUCUAGUGUCCUUUUCUACUUAGUUGGACAGAUCAGUUCAGAAAAUCGUAUAAAAAUCAAGCAAGAAAACGGAUGCCCUAACACGCAACGGCUUUCGCGCUUGUUGCUCAAAAAAUCAUAUAAAAAUCAAGCAAGAAACGGAUGCACUAACGUGCAACGGCUUUCGCGCUAGUUGCUCAAUCCGUUGCUUGCUUCUCUUCUGUCUUGGAAAAGUGAGGAUUGCCUAUCUGAUCCAAGGGAAGGAAGAGAGGUGGAAAGUGUUGCCGUGUCAAAUCGAGAUUGUGUACAGGGCUUUUAAAAUAUUAAUGAUAAAUUAGAAUGAAUUAUUUUAAUAUUAUUAUUGAAGGCUAGAUAAAAUAUUCAAUCUUUGAAAAUUAAUAAAAGUUUAUAGUUACGACAAUAUUGAUCUUUGGAAUAGCAUCUACCAAUAUUCCAAUCCAGCCACAGGUUCCCCUACGGCUACCUUGUUACGACUUCACCCCAGUCAAAGACCCCACCGUGGUAUGCGCUAAUAAGACCACCAAAGGCCUUUGUGGCACUAGUCGUACACAGAAGUCAUGGGCGAUCAUUGGUCCGAUGCUUCGGGCGAAACCAAUUCCCAGGGUGUGACGGGCAGUGUGUACAGGGCCCGGGUACAUAUACACCAUGGCAUGCUAAUCCGCGAUUACUAGCGAUUUCAUCUUCAUGUUCCUGAGUUGCAGAGAACAAUCCGAACUGAGGCAAUCUUUCCGGAUUCGCUCCGCCUUACAGCCUUGCUUCCCAUUGUCAUUGCCAUUGUAGCAUGUCUGUGGCCCAACCCAUAAGGGCCAUGCAGACUUGAAGUCAUCCCCACGUUCCUCCAGUAUCUCGCUGGCAGUCCCUCAUGACUGCGGCAUGCACCUUUUUCUUUGUUUCGGACCAGGGCGCGUACUAUUACCACUACGUUCCACACCAUUUUCUGGCCUUCAUGCCGAGUCUUCCUCCGUCGCCAACUUGACGUCAUCGUAACCAACUUCAACCAAACCUCCAUGCUCACUGGUACUUUGACAGCACUAUAGGUAGGUCUCCGUGGGUCUUGGGCAAGACGACUUCGGUUCACACGUGAAAGUGCUUCGAAAGGCACCGGCUCCCAAUGGUGAAAUUCUUGCUGAAACCAAGUAGUAGCGCUGGCACGUCACUCGGUGGGAAUUUCUCCUUAGGUGCAUGUCUCAGCAACACAAAACGAGGGUCUCGCUCGUUAUAGGACUUAACCAAACAUCUCACGACACGAACUGACGACAGCCAUGCAUCACCUGUAUAAAAGUCAGUACCAUCCUGUUAAGGACAGGUUUUUGUAACACCCCGGUGUAAUGAUGCUACAGUAAUCCCUGAGAUCAAGCUAAUCAUUUUGCUAUAACAGUGCUUGGUCAGUUUGAUCAAUAUCCCAUUUCAAAUUCCAGUUGAAUUCAAUUUGAAUUUAUGUGUGAAAUUCAAAUAUGCUCAGACAUGAAAACUAAAAUGUUCAUCAUGUGGAAAAUAUUCUUCUGGUAAUAUUGGUGGUGAACCAACAUUUUUGCAAAAUGUCUAAGUGGCCUAAAAUAGCUAAAACAGAAAAGCUUAAAAAAAGCAAAAGUUACAAAAAAGGGAAAAGGGCCAGAGCCCCUGGCCUCCCCUUGGGCUUCGGCCCACCCGAGCUAACAGCCCAGCUGGUCCGGCCUAGCCCCUCCCCGGGUCGCCUUCUCACCCUGUUCCCCCGACCGGGGUCGCAACAGGGGCGAGCCCCGCCGGACCGCCUCGACGGCGACUGCCCAGAGAGGAUAAGGUCGACCCUUCCCCUCGACGCCUCGACCUCCUCCCCACCUACCUCCACUCCCCUGACUCGCCUCCCAGGUCCACCCCGCUCUCCGCCCCUCUCUGUCUCGGCCGCUCACCUCACCCGAGCACCGUCGACGCCAUGGCCGCGCCAUAGCGAUGACCACCCUCUUCCCCACACCGCGCCUCCCUGUCCAUACGCUCUGUCGGCGUCGUCUACGCCGCCUACGCCAAGCGCCUGGAGCCGGGGAGCAACGGAGCGCCCGCAUCACCGUCUUCUUCCUCAUUGGCCCGGCGUACUCCGUCGGCGAUUUUCUCCGGCGAGCUCUCCCCCAAGCCCGCUUUGCUCAACUGCAGGUCACGGUGAGCCCCUGCCUUCUUCCCCCCGCCCUUCUCAUCGACGAUCGUACCUUGUAGCCGCCAUCCCUGCUGUGGCCGAGCCCUCCGCCACGGACGCUCGCCGCCGGCCACCUCCCGGUGACCAAAUGGCCACGCGCAGUAGUCCAUCGCCGUUGCACGCGCAUGUAGAGGUCCCUUGGCCGUUUAGUUUGUUCGCAAACGAGCUGCCGUUGCUGACCCGCAUCGAGCCGAGUUCCGGCCGCCACUGUCGUCGACGCUGCGCCCUACUCCGGUCAACUCUAGCCCCCGCGACCACCGUCGUUGGAUGCGCGAGAUCGACCGCAGCCGAACGAGCCUAGCCGCUUCCGAUUUGAGCCACCGUAGCGAAAAUCCGGCGGCUUCCCGUGCGCGCCGCCAUGCGUUUUGGUCGCCGGCGCGACUUCCGUCGCCGUGCUGACGUGGGCGCCUCUGGGCCCCACCCCGGUGUCACUGCCACUGUGCCCCACGGCCCUGUUGACCUAGUCAACGUUUGGCUGGGCAUUGCCCAGUCACUGCCAGUGGGCCCCGCGUGGGCCCUGCUGACUGGUCAGCUGGUCAGUUGACCGCUGAUACAUUGAUGACGCCAUGCUGACGUCACCUUCCUUUUUUUCUGAAUUAAUUUGAAUGAUAAUAAUAUUAGAAAAUCUUUUAGAACUUUGAAAAUUAAUAUAAAAUAAUCCGUAAGUCAAUUGAAAAAGUUUUCUAUAUGAAAGUUGAUCAGAAAAACGCUCCAAAUCCGAAUCCAAACCCGAAUACACUACCCGCAUACAUGUCAGAUACCUCUAACUAUCUGAACAUGGAACAUUCCCCCUCCGGUCAUCUGUCUGACAUAGGUCCGGAACCGGGAACACCUUCCCAGUUGAAUUCUCCCUUCACCUAUAACGUCUAGGACCGCGUUAGAACACGUCUAGCUAUGCCUGUUGUCCUGUUAUGCACUUGUUUGCUAUGUAUUUACUGUUUCUCCCCCCUCUUCUCUUCGGUAGACCCCGUGGUGGCUGCCGAUGCCGCUGUGAUCGACUACGUCACCAACGACCCCUCUUUCUUGUCUGAGCAACCAGGCAAGCCCCCCCUUGAUCAUCCCUAUAUCGCCCAUUCCAUUAUCUCAUGCUUGCAUUAGAUUUUGCUACUGUUAUUGUUUGCUCCUAUUCUGAUGCAUAGCCUGCUUUUGUAACCUGCUCAUUGUUACCUACGUGCUUAUCCUAAACUGCUUAGUAUAGGUUGGUUAGUGAUCCACCAGUGACCCCCACCUUGUCCUUGUUGCCCCUGCUUCAUCAUCGAAGACCCGAUCAACGGGAUCGAAGACCAGACCCCAACACCGCACAUCACUUCCCCUUAGUUGCGCGACACUACUGGGUUACUAUCGAGUGCCAAGGGUGACGCCUCAUCAGCACUUCUGAUGUUAACCCGCUGCUGUAGUUAUUCGGUCAUGGUCAUCGAGGGUGAUUCCGCCUUAACCACUUCCGAUACGACUCUGUCGUGCAACCCCUCUAGUGUGAACCUCGAGGGUGGUCCCUCUUACGUUCACGUUGAUGAUUACAUAGAGUGGAAUUCACCGGGGAUGAUUCCUCGGGUUUUCCCCUUGAUGUUUGGACACACGGUUACUAUGGUUACUAUGACUUUACACUGAACCAUGUUUCUAAAGACGGGUCGACCCUGAGGGGUACCCGCGCGAGCAUAAUUGCGAGUGAUGUGGAGUCGGGUUGACCUGGAAGGUGCCCGCGAGAUAAUUACGAGGCAUGGCCGGGCAUUCCUAGCCCUUGCCGCAAGACCUCGAGACGAGGCGACGGGGUCACAUCUUUCGUGAAUCUCUGCUUGUUACCGCGUGCUCCUAAUGCACUAUGAUUUGGAUAUUUGAUCCGAGGGGUCUCUGGCCUGAUAGCACUAACCAUCACGUGGGCAUAGUAUGGGCGUUCUGCGUCGUAUGCAUCAGUCGAAGCUUAAUAGACGUCAGCGACUGAGCGGCGCGCGCCGGGUUGGACUGCGGAAGCACCUGCCUUGUUGAAGGAGGUAGCUUGGUCUGCUCACCGGCCGCGUACGCAACGUGCAGGAGUUCCCGGGGAGAUGGCCCAUGGCCCCAGGGGGCAUAGGUUUAGUCCGGCGUGCUGACCUCUCUAUUAAGCCUAGGUCGGGUUGCGGCGAAAUGUUUGGCCGAGGCCGGGCAUGACCCAAGAAAGUGUGUCCAGCCGGAGUUAAACGAGCGUGGUGGGUAAGUUUGUGCACCCCUGCAGGGAAGAAAACAUCUAUCGAUAGCCUGUCCGACGGUAAAGGACACUUGGAGUUGUAUCCCGAUCGAUACACCUAGAACUGGAUACUUGUGAUGAGAACUGGAUGGUGAUGAGAAUUGGAUUGUGAUGAUAACUGGACAGUAUGGCUCUGGGAUUGCUUUCUCGCAGGGAGUCGAGAAAGGAUCUCUAGCCGAGGUUGAUGACACUUCUACUAAUUUACUUUAUGCUACUCUACUCCCCCUAUUGCUGCAAGAUGGUGGUUUCCAGAAGAUGCUAGUCUUCGAUAGGACUAGGUUCUCCACUCUAUUCUAGCAUUUCUGCAGCCCAGUCCACAUAUACAGCCUUCCUUUGAUAAUGUUGCAUAUGUAGUGUAGAUCCUUGCUUGCGAGUACUUUGGAUGAGUACUAACGGUUGCUUUGCCCCCCCUUUUCCCGCUUUCUUCUUCUUUCCGGUUGAUGCAACCAGAUGUCGGAGCCCAGGAGCCAGGUGCCACCGUCGAUGCCUACUACUACGUGGAGACCGCCGACGACCAGGAGUAGUUAGGAGGCUCCCAGGCAGGAGGCCUUGCCUUUUCGAUCAAUGUUGCUUUUGUGCUAGCCUUCUUGAGGCAAACUUGUCGAACUUAUGUCUGUACAAAGAUAUUGUUGCUUCCGCUGACUCUUGUGUAUUCGAGCUUAUGUAUUCGAGCCCUCGAGGCCCCUGGCUUGUAAUAUAAAGCUUGUAUUUCUUUAAUUUGUGUCUAGAGUUGUGUUGUGAUAUCUUCCCGUGAGUCCUUGAUCUUGAUCGUACACAUUUGCGUGUAUGAUUAGUGUACGAUUCAAUCGAGGGCGUCACAAGUUGGUAUCAGAGCCGACUACCUGUAGGUAGCCCCCCUUCCAACUCCUUGGCCGUAGUCGAGUUUAGUCACUACAAAACUUUUACUAACAUGGUUGUGUGUCUUACGGGCCCACGUCACCAUUGGGUGGUAUUAGGAUCUUUUACUCCUUGUCUAUACUCUGGGACUCUGAUCUCUCUUCCAUUCGGGUUAAACGAAUUUACUAACUCUAACAUUAGGAUCCCGUGACCACAUUCACCCCAAAGUUGGAUAAGCCAUAGUUAUUCCUUAGAAUAGUAUUUUGAGUAGUGCACACACUGUCGUGUUGACUACUAAGUGGUAUCCAUCGUACCUGUUUCAUUAUGCUUGUUUCAUCAUGAAUGAUCCUUGUCUUUGCAAAUGCUCUAUGUUGAACUACCCCCUGUUACCUAUUAGCAGGAUGGUUAGACCCGCUGGUCGUGGCCGUGGUGCCAACAAUCCACCACUGCCCGAAUUUCUUGCUGGAUGAUGCAACAAUUUGAGCUGAACCGCCAGUUCAUGGAAGGAAUGAUGGCUCAGUUUCCUCGUCCGAACAUGAAUCAACAACCAACCCCAGUAACUCUGCAGGACUUCUUGCGCCUCAACCCAACUAUUUACCGCAGCUCAACUCAGCCCCUUGAUGCUGAUGACUGGCUCUGCGACAUCACGUAUGAAAUGGAGUAUGCUAGUGUGGCCCCUGCUAGCUACGUCACUUUGCAUCUUUCUUUCUGAAGCGUCCCGCUGCCCAAUGGUGGGAUAGCCACAGGCGUACCCUACCUGCUGGAACGGUCAUCACUUGGCCGGAUUUCCAAGUCGCUUUUCGUGCCCGCUUCAUUCCUCAGGGAAUCAUGGACAAGAAGAAGCGAGAGUUCCGCAACCUCACCCAAGGCAACAAGUCUGUAGAUGCUUAUCAGCGGGAAUUCUUGGACUUGUCUUGUUAUGCUGAAGAAGACAUUGCAACUGAUGCUGGUAAGCAAGAGAAGUUUCGUGAUGGACUUCACCCUGAUAUCAAGCUAACACUGCUCGUUCAUGACUUUGCCGACGUUGCCACCUUGGUGAACAAGGCUAUUCAGGUUGAGACUGGUCUUCAGGAACACCAGGGAUCCCUCAGGCGCAUCCGUGACGCUGGCUCAUCUUCGGGCCCGUCAGCGCAGAAGCGUCGGAUAUGGAUUCCCCAUAGCAUGUAUCGUCCAACUGCACCUGCACAAAGACAGUCCUAUGCUGCACCUCGUCUGCCUUCUCCACCGCAGAGGCAGCCUCUUCGAGUUGUACCACCCCAAGCUCCUAAUCCCAACCCCAAUGAUGGUCUAUGCUUCAAGUGUGGCCUUCCAGGUCACCGCUCCAGGAAAUGUCCUCAGAAUCAGAACCAACUGGCUCUUCCUGCUACGGGUCAUGGUAACAAUCAACCCCGCAACAAUAAUGCCAGACCUUAUGGUCGUGGGCAGGCUAACAACAUUGAUCUGAAUGAAGCUCAAGACCAGCCUGCUACUGUGAUGGGUACUCUCCUUGUUAAUUCAGUACCAGCUUCAGUUUUAUUCGAUUCAGAGGCAUCACAUUCAUUCAUGUCAGAAAAUUUUGCAUAUGCACACGACAUUCGAUGCGAGCCCAUGAACACUCCAAUAGUGGUACGCACCCCUGCGAGCCAAUGCCAAACCUCCAUGGUUAGCCUCAAUGUUUUAGUUGAAAUCAAAGGGUUGGAAUUUUUUGCCUCCCCCAUUAUUCUGAAGUCUUCCAAUAUUGACCUCAUUCUGGGAAUGGAUUGGUUGAAAGCACAUACGGCAUCUAUCAUUUGCGCCACUAAAACCGUCGACCUUCUACAUCCUUCAGAUGAGAUAGUAAGCUACAAUGCUCGUCCGGUUCAAAAUGCCGAAGCCCGACUCUAUCUCCUGAAUGCGUUGAACGCAGCACCUCUUGAGGGAAUUGAAAAGAUUCCAGUUGUUCGCGACUUCCUAGAUGUCUUUCCAGAAGAACUUCCAGGAAUACCCCCUACUCGGGCUGCCGAGUUCGUCAUCGACUUGAAACCAGGCACCGUUCCUAUUGCCAAACGACCCUACAAGAUGCCGCCUCAUGAGCUCCUUGAACUUAAGGAUGAAAUCGACAAAUCUCUUCACAAGGGUUUCAUUCGACCAAGUUCCUCUGCUUGGGGAGCACCUUCUCUCUUCGUCAAGAAGAAGGACGGAACGAACCGUUUGGUCCAAGACUAUCGUCCUAUCAACCAAGCUACAAUUCAGAACAAAUAUCCCCUUCCUCGGAUCAAUGAUCUGUAUGAUCAACUUGCUGGUUCAUCGAUAUUCUCUAAACUCGACUUGAGGUUGGGUUACCACUAGAUCCGUGUUCGUGAAGAGGAUAUUCCAAAGACCGCAUUCGUGACUCGUUAUGGUUCUUACGAGUACACAGUUAUGUCUUUCGGCUUAACCAAUGCUCCAGCUACAUUCUCUCGUUUGAUGAACUAUAUAUUCAUUGAUUACCUCAACAAGUUCAUCGUAGUCUAUCUGGAUGAUAUCCUGGUAUAUUCAAAGAACAAAGAAGAACAUGCCGAACAUCUUCGACUUGUUCUAGAGAAGCUUCGAGAGCAUCAACUUUAUGCAAGUAUUCCAAGUGCGAAUUCUGGUUACCCAAAGUCACCUACCUUGGGCAUGCCAUCUCCAAGGAUGGUAUUGCCGUCAACCCAGAGCGAGUUCAGGCUAUUCUUGACUGGACCCCUCCGAUGACUGUCAAGCAAGUCAGAAGCUUUCCGGACUAGCCAACUAUUUUCGGCGCUUUGUCGAGAACUUCUCCAAGAUCGCCAAGCCACUGACCAAUCUGCUACACAAAGGCGUUAAGUUUGAUUGGACUGAAAAGUGUCAGGAAAGUUUCCAGGCACUCAAGGACAAGUUGACUUCUGCCCCAGUGCUUGCUCCCCCUGAUUCUCGCAAGGACUUCGUCAUCUAUUGUGACGCUUCACGUCAAGGAUUUGGUUGUGUCCUAAUGCAAGAGUGCAGAGUGAUUGCUUAUGCCUCCCGUCAAGUGCGUCCUCACAAAGAGAACUACCCAGUUCAUGACCUCGAGCUUGCUGCGGUUAUCUUUGCACUGAAGCUUUGGCGACAAUACCUUCUCGGUAAUCGUUGCGAGAUCUUCACUGAUCAUUAGAGUCUGAACUACCUGUUUAGCCAGCCAGAUCUGAACCUCCGUCAGCAGCAAUGGAUGGAAGCUAUUGCCGACUACAACCGCGGUAUAUCCUAUACCCCUAGCAAGGCUAAUGUAAUGGCGGAUGCCCUGAGCCGUAAGUCUUUGUGCAACAAUCCCAUGGUCUACAAAGCUCAACUCCGCCUUUAUGAAGAGCUAUGCAAGCUGAACCUUCAACUAGUUCCAUAGGGUUCUCUGAAUAACCUUGUCCUCGAACCAACUCUGCUGAAAGCAAUUAAGGCUGCUCAAGCCAAAGAUGCCCACAUGAAUUUGAUGAAAAAAUGAUCUUGCCUUAGAGAAAUCCAGAGAUUUCUCACUUGGUGAAGAUGGAACCUUAUACUAUAGAGAUCGCAUUGUAGUACCCCGGUUCGAGCUUAUGACAGAGAAGGUGAUGAAAGAAGCGCAUGACACCCCUCUCUCUAUUCAUCAGGGAAGCACCAAGAUGUAUCUAGACAUCCGUCAGAAGUACUGGUAGUCUAAGAUGAAGCAAGACAUUGCUCGAUAUAUUGAAGAAUGUGACAUUUGUCGUCGCAUCAAAGCAGAACAUCAAAAACCGGCUGGACUUCUACAACCGCUUCCGAUUCCUGAAUGGAAGUGGGAUAAGAUCCAAAUGGAUUUCGUCACAGGCCUUCCCAAGUCUCAGAAAGGUAACGAUGCUAUCUUUGUCGUCAUCGAUCAAUUCUCGAAGGUUGCUCACUUUCUGCCAGUGAAGGAGACAAUCACUGCUAGUCAAUUAGCAAACUUGUAUAUCUCUAUAAUUGUGUCACUCCACGGCAUUCCGAAGGAGAUCAGUUCAGACCGCGACAGUAUAUUCACUUCGAAGUUCUGGGAUAGUUUCCAAGAGGCAAUGGGAACUCAUAUUACCUGGAGCACUGCUUAUCAUCCCCAAUCCCAAGGCCAAGUCGAGCGAUUCAAUCAAAUUCUUGAAGACAUGCUUCGGGCUUGUGUUAUUUCUUUCGGUAAGAAGUGGGAGGAAUCUCUCCCUUAUGCGGAGUUCUCUUAUAACAACAGUUAUCAAGCCAGCUUGAAAAUGGCAUCCUUUGAAGUGCUUUAUGGAAGUAAGUGCCGAACCCCUCUGAAUUGGUCAGAAACUGGGGAACGGACGCUCAUUGGUCCAGACAUUAUUCAACAAGCUGAAGAGCAGGUUCGCAUUGUCCGGGAUAAUCUCAAGGCGGCCCAGUCCCGUAAGAAGAGCAACUAUGACCGGAAACACUGGGGUUCAACUUAUCAAACUGGUGAACAGGCUUAUCUGCGUGUCCCUCCUUUGAGAGGCACUCAACGGUUCGGAGUCAAGGGCAAGCUAGCUCUGCGCUACAUUGGUCCUUUCCGCAUUCUGGCCCGUCGUGGGCUGGUGGCCUAUCAACUUGAGUUGCCACCUCAGUUCUCUCACGUACAUGACGUCUUCCACGUGUCGCAACUUUGCCGAUGCUUCAAGGAUCCGGAACGUCAAGUGGAUCCGGAAUUGAUUGAAACUCAAGAUGAUCUCACCUACAAAGAGCAUCCGAUCCACAUUCUUGAAGAAGCUGAACGUCGAACCCGCCAGAAGGUUACCAAGUUCCUCAGGUGCAAUGGUCGAAUCAUACUAAAGAGGAUGCCACUUGGGAACGUGAAGAUAACCUCCGGGCUGAAUACCCCGACCUGUUCCCUUCUACCUCUUAAUUCUCGGGACGAGAAUUUCUUUUAGAGGAGGAGAGUUGUAACACCCUGGUGUAAUGAUGCUAUAGUAAUCCCUGAGAUCAAGCUAAUCAUUUUGCUAUAACAGUGCUUGGUCUCUUUGAUCAAUAUUCCAUUUCAAAUUCCAGUUGAAUUCAAUUUGAAUUUAUGUGUGAAAUUCAAAUAUGCUUAGACAUGAAAACUAAAAUGUUCAUCAUGUGGAAAAUAUUCUUCUGGUAAUAUUGCUGGUGAACCAACAUUUUUGCAAAAUGUUUAAGUGGCCUAAAAUAGCUAAAACAGAAAAGCUUUAAAAAAAAGCAAAAGGUAAAAAAAGGGAAAAGGGCCAGAGCCCCUAGCCUCCCCUUGGGCUUCGGCCCAGCCCCUCCCCGGGUCGCCGUCUCACCCUGUUCCCCCGACCGGGGUCGCAACAGGGGCGAGCCCCGCCGGACCACCUCGACGGCGACUCCCCGGAGAGGAUAAGGUCGACCCCUCCCCUCGACGCCUCGACCUCCUCCCCACCUACCUCCACUCCCUUGUCUCGCCUCCCAAGUCCACCCCACUCUCUCCCCUCUCUGUCUCGGCCGCUCACCUCACCCAAGCGCCGUCGACGCCAUGGCCGCGCCAUAGCCACGGCCACCCUCUUCCCCGCACUGCGCCUCCCUGUCCAUACGCUCUGUCGGCGUCGUCUAUGCCGCCUACACCAAGCGCCUGGAGCCGGGGAGCAACGGAGCGCCCGCAUCGCCGUCUUCUUCCUCCUUGGCCCGGCGUACUCCGUCGGCGAUUCGCUCCGGCGAGCUCUCCCCCAAGCCCGCUUUGCUCACCUGCAGGUCACGGUGAGCCCCUGCCUUCUUCCCCCCGCCCUUCCCGUCGACGAUCGUACCUCGUAGCCGCCAUUGUCGGUGUCAAAACCAGCGGAUCUAGGGUAGGGGGUCCCGAACUGUGUGUCUAAGGCGGAUGGUAAUAGGAGACAGGGGACACAAUGUUUACCCAGGUUCGGGCCCUCUCGAUGGAGGUAAUACCCUACUUCCUGCUUGAUUGAUCUUGAUGAUAUGAGUAUUACAAGAGUUGAUCUACCACGAGAUCGUAGAGGCUAAACCCUAGAAGCUAGCCUAUGGUAUGAUUGUUGUUGUCCUACGGACUAAACCCUCCGGUUUAUAUAGACAUCAGAGGGGGCUAGGGUUACACAGAGUCGGUUACAAGGGAGGAGAUCUACAUAUCCGUAUUGCCAAGCUUGCCUUCCACGCCAAGGAGAGUCCCAUCCGGACAUGGGACGAAGUCUUCAAUCUUGUAUCUUCAUAGUCCAACAGUCCGGCAAAACGAUAUAGUCCGGCUGUCCGAGGACCCCCUAAUCCAAGAAUCCCUCAGUGGGGAUUCUCAGAUCCAGAUCACUCCAUCCUCCCAUAGCGAGUAUCCAUCGGAGCGCGCCCGGAAAAAAUCCAUUCCAACAUGGCCAGUCAUCGUAGCUCCUCCUCUCGCUCCCGUAGCCCCAAGCCCGUAAAUUGGAAGAAGUGUUCCGUCCCCCACAGCCAAUUAGUAGAGUUGCAGACCCAGGGAUUUCUCCCUCCAGCGUAUAUGGUCCCCGUUCAAGCCGGGCUCGCCACCUUUAACGGCGGGGAGCAAGCGGAGAUCUUUCCCAGCCCAUCCAUGGGGGAGCGGGUAUGCCUCGUCCCUUACUUAUUAAGAGGCCUUGGAUGUCCAAUUCAUUCGUUCCUCCGUGGGCUCCUGGAGUUCUAUGGCCUCCAGCUGCAUAAUUUCACUACCGCCCCCAUAUUACACAUUGCUGGCUAUGUCACCCUUUGCGAGCUGUUUCUGGGCUGCGAAGCUCAUUUCGAGCUAUGGAAGAGGCUAUUCUGCCUCAUACCCCGUACACAGGAGGGGUCACUGUAUCAAGUGGGUGGAGCCGAAAUAUGGCACAUCGCCGGGACCGGAUACCUGUCCGGUACUCCGAAGAAGACAUUAGAGGACUGGCCUUCGGAGUGGUUUUAUAUGGAGGACGUCCCCCUUCCGGACCCUAUUCGGAUGGGCCUCCCUUAGUUCGACAACGCUCCCUUGGAGAAACGCUGCAGCUGGCGCCCUCGGAGCCCUCAGGAGGAAGAUAACGGAGAAGUCCUUUAGCUGAUGCGCUGGAUAAAAAUGCUGGCUCAAUCAGGACUGAAAAUAACCGAGGUUAUGUCAAUAUGUAUAAUGUGGGGUGUACAGCCACUUCAAUAUCGAGGGCACCCCAUGUGGCACUUUAACGGGGAAAAUGAUGCCACCCGCUGCGGGCGUAAGGGACCGGACUCAGUUGCUGCUCUAGCAAAAAUUCUGUCCGAUUUGUACAAGGGAGAGGAAGUGGAGUUCAUGUACAACCCUCCAAGCUGUGUGAGCUGUCACUUUUUACUCCCAGCCUUCCCGCAUUCUUCGUCAUAAGUACUUACCUUGCCGUUUCAUGGCAGGAACUGUGAAAAGCUGUAAGGGAGGUCAUCAGCCCGUCUCCACAACCGGAGGACCCUGAUCGGGCCCUCGAUCCCGGACUCGAAGUGGAUCAGGACAUAUUUGUGGAGCUGAUCGAUAUGACAUUCUAUCAAUUGAGAUGCGAUGAUGCCAUGGUGGCCAUCAUAGCCGACUAUCCUGAGCUACUCCCUGCAUCGCAUGUAAGUAAAACCAGAGUCCCAACUUCCGAGAAGGAUGCCCUUUUUUGCACUUCACCUACCGUACACAUAUGGUAUCUUACAGGGAAGGCCCUCGGGACGCCAUGCCGAACCCGCAGUGACUCUCCAACAAGGGGCACCGAAGCCGGGUAGGCUAAAAAGGAAGGUGGUCAGGACUGAGACGCCGUCGCAGAGGUAUGAUACAGAACCUCGCUCCGUGGUUGUCGUCUUUUAAAAUAUAAUAACGUCCACGUUUCCUAGUAGGAAAAACGCUCGUCGGACUAUGUACGAAGAGUUUGCCGAUCACGCCUCCACCAGUUGUGCUCCAGGGCCGGACAUAGAGGCGGAAGCUAACACAGGGCGAACGCCGAAUGCUCCUCCUACAGAGGAUCCGGAUAGAUUAUCCGCUACAAAUUCCAAAGUGGAGAUUUGCCAUGAAUCACAGGCGUCGCCGGGCCGUACUCCGUGAUGCUUGUUUCUCCCAAGAGGCGUUUGAUGCCUUCAACUCAAGAGACGCGUACAUCUGUGCUGCUCAAAAUGGUCUUGCCAGAGCCACGGGCCAGUAUGUAAAGGAUAUACGAGUAAUAAAAUCUGAUGAUUAUAUAUAUCAGUAGCCCCUGAGACUUGAAACAGUUGACACAGCUGAUUGAAGGAUCAUUAUUUGUGCAGGUUCUUACAGAGAAGAAUACCCAAUUGUCUCAAGAGCUGGAAGAGUGCAAAAAGCACAGCUACAGGCCGCAGUUGCCGCGUUGAAGGAGUCCGAGAAGGCCCCCUCUAGUAACACUUGUUUCUAUUGCAAAGAAUGACAGGUACCAGAUAGUAUGCGGCAUGCACGCAAAUCUAACAAUAGAUGUUGCAGAUGACUCUGGAGUGAAUCCGGAGGCCGUGCCGGGGGAUGCGCAACAUGCUAAUCGACAGCUAAAUGCUGGCGAGCGCGUUCUUACGCGGGUUAGGCAGGAGAAAAAUGAUCUCCAAGACGCCAAUAUCCAGCUGGGCGUGGAACUGAAAGAUGUUCGAGCCCAGCUUGCGGACUCCGUGAAGGAGAAUAAGCGGCUUCGACGCGGCAUUUUCAGUAAGUGCUUGAACAAACUUUUGAAAGAGUUCAGCGAAGAAGCCGGCUAACAGAGUUAUGUCUGCAGGUAUGCUGACAGGUCGUCCCGCGGAGGAGAUGCCCAGGUCUGCGGGUGAUCUUCUACCAGAGCUCUCACAACUGCACGAACAAGUUCGGUAGGUGAUGCAGGGUAUUGCCCAAGCCUUGUGGCCAUCCGCUUCCCCGCCAGGUGGCAUGGGGGAGCUUAUAGAGAAGCUCAAGGGAGCGCGGCGGCGCUUCCGAUUAUGGAAGAUAUCAGCCUGCCGGCAAGGUGCAAGGGAAGCCUGGGCCAUGGUGAAGACGCGAUAUACGAAAGCUGACCCGAACCACAUGGCCGAGGUUGGACCUGUGGGGCCCGAUGGGAAAGAGAUCGCCGUCAGUUUGGUGUAUGAACCAGUAGAAUUAGCCGCAAAGUAUUCCCAACAGGAUUGUAGGCUAGACAGCCUAUUGGAUGGUACAGAAGAAGAAUUUAGUCAGUCUAAGUUACUGUGUACUUCAAGUGACAUAUAUUGUCCCUAGCCGGAUUGUAAAUCAUUUGUCAUGGCGGACCUUUUCGCUUCGACCUCUGGACCCGAUAGUCUGGAGUGUAUCCGAAUACCCGCUCAGUUAUGUAAAAACUGGGGUACGCGUGGAAACCAGGCGUAGGGGUCAUAAGUGCUUGAACAGACAAGUACCCAACUAGCUAUGUUAUAUUACAUGGAUAGUAAGAAACAUCUUCCAGGGAGAAUAGUUCCGUUAAGGGUUCCUUUCCCUGGGUACGCAUGCCCUAAUGUGCAUAUCCGAACUGCGAAAAGAGACGCAGGCUAUAAACAGCUGGGGGCAUGUAUUAAAAUAAAUAAAAUUCAUCUUUUGUUCACCGACCGAGUAUUCCCUUAAGAACGCUAGCUUUCGGCUUCACCCAGUCUGAGGUACACAUCCGUCUGACCCGGCAGUAACAAUCGCAGAGGUGCUCCCCCUAUGCCCUGGCAUAAACACAAGAGCCAGGCAACCCAGCUUGGCCAAAACUUAAGUCCUAUCGAUGCAUAUAAUGGCAAAAAAAGGUACAUGUGGAAGAAUAACACAUGUGUGGGGCAUAAAGCCCGGAAAAUAGUUAUAUUAAGCUUCUGUAUAAGAAGCCCCCAGGUAUAAUGAGCGCGGCUAGCGCGUCAAGAUUGUGUAGUAAAGACCCAAUUUAGCCUUUUAAGGCCUUGAAGAAAAGGAAAAAAGAAGAGAGAAAGAGAGAAAAGACAGAUAACGGAUAUUUAAAAAAUUGACGUAGGUAAGGAGACGAACAUAGAGUCCGGCACUAGGCGUAGAACCUUCAGAGUCUUGCUGCGUUCCAUGGGUUUGGCUCGAGUCGAUUAUCUGAUGCAUCCCGCAGACGGUACGCUCCACUGGUCAGAACCUGGUCAAUAAUGAAGGGACCUUCCCGUUUGGGCUUGAGCUUGUUCUUUUUCUUCUCCGGUAGGCGUAGAACAAGUUCGGCAACGUUAUAAGCUUUGGCCCGUACUUCUCUGCUUUGAUACCUUCGAGCCUGUUGCUGAUAGAAUGCGGAACGGGCUUUUGCCACGUCACGCUCCUCAUCCAGGGCGUCCAAACUGUCCUGCCAAUCGAGCUCGACCUCUUUUUCUUCAUACAUGCGCACUCGAGGUGAGUCAUGAAUUAUGUCGCAGGGCAGUACUGCCUCUGCGCCGUACACCAUAAAGAACGGUGUGUAUCUGGUAGUGCAAUUCGGCGUGGUCCGCAGCCCCCACAGUACGGAGUCGAGCUCCUCUACCCAGUGCGUGUUUGAUUCCUUUAAGGACCGCACUAAUUUGGGUUUAAUGCCGCUCAUGAUAAGACCAUUUGCUCGCUCGACUUGACCGUUAGUUUGCGGGUGAUAGACAGAAGCAUAAUCGAGCUUGGUUCCCGUGUUGCUGCACCAAAGUUUUACCUCAUCGGCUGUAAAGUUUGAGCCGUUGUCGGUGAUGAUGUUGUGGGGGAUGCCAUAACGGUGUACAACCCCAGAUAUGAAGUCUAUCACCGGUCCGGAUUCAGCCGUUUUGACUGGUUUGGCUUCUAUCCAUUUGGUGAAUUUGUCCACCAUGACCAAUAGGUAUUUUUUCUAAUGGGUUCCCCCUUUGAGGGGUCCGACCAUAUCAAGCCCCCAGGCCGUAAAGGGCCAAGUAAUGGGGAUUGUUUGGAGAGCGGUAGGCGGCAUAUGGCUUUGGUUUGCAAAAAGCUGGCAACCGACGCAACGUUGAACAAGGUCCUGUGCGUCUGCUUGGGCCGUCGGCCAAUAGAAACCUAUACGGAAGGCCUUGCUUACAAGGGCCCAGGCUGCGGCGUGGUGGCCGCCGAGUCCAGCAUGGAUUUCUGCCAAAAGCUUCCGCCCUUCCUCUUCGGAGAUGCAGCUUUGAAGGACUCCGGUAGUGCUUUUCUUAUAAAGCUCUCCCUCAUGGACCUUGUAGGCUUUAGACCGCUGCACUAUGUAGCGUGCCUCAUUUUGGUCCUCGGGUAGUUCCUGCCUGGUUAGGUAGGCCAGGAAUGGUUCUGUCCACGGGGCGAUGACGGCUAUUAUCACGUGGGCUGAAGGUGUUAUUUCGGUGGCAGAGCCUCCGAUUGUGUCGGAGUGUUCGGUAUCUGGUGUUGUGGUCAGGUCUGGACUAUUGUUACCGGUGUCCCCUUCCCAUACCACGGAUGGCUUAAACAGCCUUUCCAAGAAGAUGUUAGGUGGGACAGGGUCGCGCUUAGCGUCGAUACGGGCGAGGAUAUCCGCCGCCUGAUUGUUUUCCCGAGCCACAUGGUGGAAUUCAAGCCCCUCGAACCGAGCUGACAUUUUGAGGAUGCUAUUGCGAUAAGCCGCCAUUUUCGGAUCCUUGGCGUCCAACUCUCCAUUUAUUUGAGAUAUUGUGAGGUUCGAGUCCCCACGCACCUCCAAGCGUUGAAUGCCCAUGGAAACUGCCAUCCGGAGACCAUGUAAUAGGGCCUCGUAUUCGGCUGCGUUGUUGGAGUCUGUGUAUAGUAUUUGGAGUACGUAUUGGACUGUAUCUCCGGUGGGGGACGUCAGGACGACGCCAGCCCCCAGACCAGCCAGCAUUUUAGAGCCGUCGAAGUGCAUGAUCCAAUUGUAGUACGUGUUGUAUUCUUUAGGGAGUUCGGCUUCUGUCCACUCGGCGACAAAAUCGGCCAGUACUUGCGACUUAAUGGCUCGCCGUGGUCUAUAUGUUAUGUCCAAUGGGAGGAGCUCGAUAGCCCAUUUGGCAAUCCGACCCGUGGCAUCGCGGUUGUUUAUUAUGUCAUUGAGUGGUACUUCCGAGGCCACCGUAAUUGAACACUCUUGAAAGUAGUGUCGUAAUUUCCGGGAUGCCAUAAAUACCGCGUAUGCUAUCUUUCGAUAAUGUGGGUACCGUGAUUUGCAUGGAGUGAGGACAGUGGAUACAUAAUACACUGGCUUUUGAAGUGGGAAUUUAUGUCCGUCCGUCUCUCGUUCGACGACGAGCACUACGCUUACAACUUGGUGAGUUGCUGCUAUAUAUAACAGCAUUGGUUCGCCGACAUUUAGCGCGGCCAAGAUUGGUUGGUGGCCAGGAUGGCUUUUAUUUCUUCCAAUCCGGCCGUGGCCGCGUCCGUCCACUCGAAGUGUUUGGUGUGCCGAAGAAGGCGAUAAAGGGGUAGUGCCUUUUCUCCUAAUCGGGAGAUAAAGCGGCUUAAGGCCGCCACGCAUCCAGUUAACUUCUGGAUUUGCUUGAGGUCAGUUGGGAUAGCCAACUGUGACAGAGCUCGAAUUUUCGCCGGAUUUGCUUCAAUUCCUCUACUGGAGACGAUGAAGCCCAGGAGCUUUCCGGCGGGCACGCCGAAAACACAUUUUUCCAGAUUGAGCUUGAUGUCGUAUAUUCGGAGAUUGUCAAACAUGAGCCUCAAGUCGUCUAUUAAGGAUUCAACGUGUCUGGUUUUAACGACCACAUCGUCUACGUAUGCCUCCACUGUUUUGCCGAUCUAUUUUUCCAGACAUGUGUGAAUCAUGCGUUGAUACGUUGCACUGGCAUUUUUGAGCCCGAAGGGCAUUGUGUUAAAACAGAAGGGGCCGUAUGGAGUGAUAAAUGUCGUUGCGGCUUGAUCGGACUCCGCCAUCUUAAUUUGGUGGUAACCGGAGUAUGCGUCGAGGAAGCACAAUGAGUCGUGUCCUGCGGUAGCAUCGAUAAUUUGAUCGAUGCGAGGGAGGGGGAAGGGAUCCUUUGUGCAAGCCUUAUUAAGGUCCUUGAAGUCGACGCAUGGGCGCCAUGAUUUGUCCUUCUUUGGUACCAUCACCAGGUUUGCUAGCCAGUCCGGAUGUUUUAUUUCUCUAAUGAAUCCGGCCUCCAGUAACUUGGCUAGCUCCUCUCCCAUGGCUUGUCGCUUAGGUUCAGAGAAACGCCGAAGAGUCUGCUUGACCGGCUUGAAUCCCUUUAGAAUUUGAAGGCUAUACUCGGCCAGCCUGCGUGGGAUUCUUGGCAUGUCUGAAGGAUGCCAGGCGAAUAUGUCCCAAGUCUCGCGCAGGAACUCCCGUAGUGAGGCGUCUACAGCGGGGAUUAACCGUGCCCUGAUGGAUGCUGUUUUUGUAGGGUCCGUUGGGUGGACUUGGAAUUUGACAAUUUCAUCCGCUGGUUGAAAAGAGGUGGACUUGGAUCUUUUGUCGAGUAUCACAUCGUCCCUGUCCACUUUGGAGCGCAGUGCAGUUAAUUCCUCGGCCGCGAGGGCUUCGGAUAAUGCCUUGAGGGCCAGUGCGGCUGUUUUGUUUUCAGCGCAGAGUGCUAUGUCUGGAUCACUAGCUAGAGGAUGAUUCCAUUGGGCCCGGGCAUUUUGAGCUUCAUGUACCCAUAAUGGGGUAUGGCUUGCAAGAUCGUGAAUGCCUCACGCCCUAGAAGGGCGUGGUAUCCGCUACUGAACGGGGCCACUUGGAAUGUAAUUUCUUCGGACCUAUAAUUCUCCGGCAUGCCGAAUACCACAUCUAGUGUGAUUUUCCCAGUGCAUCGUGCCUCCCGACUAGGGAUGAUUCCUCUGAAGGUCGUGCUGCUUUGCUCAAUGCGGUUUCUGUCUAUUUCCAUUUUUUGAAGAGUCUCCUCAUAAAUGAGGUUUAAUCCGCCGCCGCCGUCCAUGAGCACUUUAGUAAGCCGAAAGUCGUCCACAAUUGGACUAAGGACCAAGGCGGCUGGUGCUCGGGCUGUUCGGAAUUUAGGUUCGUCACUGGCAUUGAAGGUGAUAGCCGUGUCGCUCCAUGGAUUUAUUGCUGCCACGUGGCAGACUUCGGCAAGGCUGCGGAGUGCUCGCUUACACCUAUUAUUUGAGGCGAAGGUCUCAAAGACUGUCAAUAUUGUAUUGUUGUUAUCCACGGGGUGGUGCUCUGCGGUAUUUUAAAUGAGGAGAUCGUCACCGCUCUUGGCCACCUGCUGGAGUACCCAACAUGCUCUAAGGCUGUGUGUUGGUAUGGUAUCCAUUGUACUGUGAAUUUUGCAUGGCCCAUUAAGCCAUCCCUCCAAUACGGUUCCACGCCCUAUAGUGGGCUUUUGCUUCUUUGUAAUUGAGUAGGGCAACUUAUGAGAGUGCACCCUUUUAGUUCGGACUGGGGGGGGUAUCUCAGAGCCAGAUUAUCCCAAAAUUUUUUUGGGUUUUCCAGGCGCUUUCCAUCGCACAGUACUUCCGUACUAUGGCCGCCAAGUCAGCGAAGUGUGCUAUGUCACGGCGACUUAUGGCGUUGAGGAUUCCCUUGUCCGUGCAAUUAUUGCAAAAGAAUGAAAUUGCGUCUUCCUCGCGAUAGUCCUUGACCUUGUUCAUUACAAGGAGGAAUCUGGCCCAAUAGUGAUGUACUGUCUCCUGGGGCUCUUGCCUAAUGUGGGAAAGAUCGUUUAUAUCUAGGUGGGUGGGUGGAUUUAAGUCCGAACCUUGAACCGAUCUGAGACCCGGGGGCGGAGGAGUUUCCGAUCUUGGAAGUUCGAGCUUCGGGAUGUUGCCCAGUGGGUCUGGCCCGCUGCCUGAUUCUAGGUUCAUGGUUUGGGCAAUGUCCUCCCGUAGACGGGUAUCCGGCUCGAAGAGCUCAGGAAUCUGGACAUAAUUUGUCCUCAAGAUAGAGGAAGAAUCGCCGCAUUGCUCCUCCACCACUGCUAUCUGAUGGGUGACCGGCGGAGAGUUAAUCUCCCUUUGGUCGGGUUUAAGCCCAAUCCGAUCAUAGUCCGUAGCGACUCCCAAAGCGGCGAUGCGAUCCAAGAGCUCGUUCAAAGAGGAGAGCUCCAUUGGAUUCAUCCGCUCGGUAAGUUCCGACCCGAUGUGGAGGCUGUUUUCGAUGACCCGAGAAGUCAUCGUCGGCGCAGACGAAGCCGCCUAGUCGGAGAGUUUGGCCUACAGCCUGGGCUCCCCCAGAGGUGAUGUUGUCCCUGACAACGAGACGAGCCAUCCUUCCUUAUGAUGACGGCACAGCGGAACUCUCAAUGAAAGCACCAAUGUCGGUGUCAAAACCGGCGGAUCUCGGGUAGGGGGUCCCGAACUGUGCGUCUAAGGCGGAUGUUAACAGGAGACAGGGGACACAAUGUUUACCCAGGUUUGGGCCCUCUCGAUGGAGGUAAUACCCUACUUCCUGCUUGAUUGAUCUUGAUGAUAUGAGUAUUACAAGAGUUGAUCUACCACGAGAUCGUAGAGGCUAAACCCUAGAAGCUAGCCUAUGGUAUGAUUGUUGUUGUCCUACGGACUAAACCCUCCGGUUUAUAUAGACACCGGAGGGGGCUAGGGUUACACAGAGUCGGUUACAAGGGAGGAGAUCCACAUAUCCGUAUUGGCAAGCUUGCCUUCCACGCCAAGGAGAGUCCCAUCCGGACACGGGACGAAGUCUUCAAUCUUGUAUGUUCAUAGUCCAACAGUCCCGCAAAAGGAUAUAGUCUGGCUGUUGGAGGACCCCCUAAUCCAGGACUCCCUCAGCCAUCCCUGCGGUGGCCGAGCCCUCCGCCACGGACGCUCAUCGCCGGCCACCUCCCGGUGACCAAAUGGCCACGCGCAGUAGUCCAUCGCCGUUGCACGCGCAUGUAGUGGUCCCUUGGCCGUUUAGUUUGUCCGCAAACGAGCUGCCGUUGCUGACCCGCAUCGAGUCGAGUUCCGGCCGCCGCUGUCGUCGACGCUGCGCCCUGCUUUGGUCAACCCUAGCCCCGGCCGCGACCACCACCGUUGGAUGCGCGAGAUUGACCGCAGCCGAAUGAGCCUAGCCGCGUCCAAUUUGAGCCACCGUAGCGAAAAUCCGGCGGCCUCCCGUGCGCGCCUCCGUGCGUUUUGGUCGCCGGCGCGACUUCCAUCGCCGGGCUGACGUGGGCGUCUCUGGGCCCCACCCCGGUGUCGCUGCCACUGGCCCCACAGCCCUGUUGACCCAGUCAACGUUUGGCUGGGCAUUGCCCAGUCACUGCCAGUGGGCCCCGCAUGGGCCCUGUUGACUGGUCAACUGGUCAGUUGACCGCUGAUACAUUGAUGACACCAUGCUGAUGUCACUUUCCUUUUUCUGAAUUAAUUUGAAUGAUAAUAAUAUUAGAAAAUCUUUU
rnacentral:lncRNA from 1 species